UCACUAGUCAGUGUUUGAAUGUUGUAUAUAUCGUUGUUUCGAACUGUUUAUUGUCUCGAACUAUUGGUGGGCUAAAUGAGGGCAUCACCAUUCUCCAGUGUUUAGAGUAUAUCUCCUUUUUUUCAAGUUAUAUAAUUUGAGCUCAGUGUCUUUUCGAUGAUGUACACUUGUUUGGGCCAGUGAGGUGUCGUUGAAUAUGGGCCGAGUAGUAACGCAAUACCAAACAGGUCAAUUAUGACUCUCAGGCCGGGCUCUCAAAAGAUCCUAAAAAAGGCCGGGCUCUCCAAAAAAGAAAGAAUAAGGACUCUUAGGCCGACAUGUGGGCGCCACCGGUGUUUUCGUGCGCUUGCGCACUGAGAGCAUAUUGGCGCGUGCUCGAAAUUCAUACUACCUUUUCAUCCCCAGUCUCCCGCCCCUCCCCCACCUCUGGAAUCUCGAUUCCUACUCCAGUUCCCCCAAAUCCCCCUCCUGUACUCCCUGUACUCAAGUGCACUAUCAUGUCGCCAGUCAACGCGGAUCUCCGAGCUAGAGAUCCUGAGGUCCGUCCUGCCUUCGGUCGCUGCAUGCUGUCGCUCAACAGUGGCAUGGCAGCGCUUGACGACCAGUUUGCCGGCAAAGUGCUGAUGGUAACCAUCAACGGCGACCGGCCUCCCGUCUCACCAGACGACCUUGUCAAAUCUCUUAGCAUUGCGCACGGCAUCCAAAUAAGUGACUUGCUCGUCGAAGUUUGUCCGCCACCGGCUGAUUUCUUUGUCAGGUUCCGGACAACUUUCGACUGCAGUCGUGUGUUCGAAUCUUCCCGGCGUUUGUUCUGUCAUGGCGCGCUGGUGAGCUUUGAUCGGUGGCAUCAAGGAUGGGGCUCGGUGCCCUCUGAGCUUGAGUUUUUAACAAAGCUUACCUUCCAUGGCAUGCCUUGACGUGCUUGGAACAGCGAGUCCAUGAACAAGCUUAUCAACGACCUUGGAGGUGAGCUCGUAAGUAUGUUUGUUCCUCCAGACAGCUGGGCUCUGACGGUUAUGGCAUCGACGAAGAAGCCGUCCACCAUACCGAAGGUGAUUGGUGUUGAGAUACCGGUGGAGGAACCAGGGUUGUACUAUUCGUCGCCACCAAGGCCACCACGGACCACGUUAAGGAUGUACCUAUAUCGAGUGUUCGUGCAUGUCGAAGAAGUGGUCAAUCCAUCAAUCGAAGUCCUACCGCCGCGGCUGGUGCCAGGGUCCGUCGAUGACGUCCAUUGCAGGAGUCAACGUUAGACUUUCCCCGUGUUGCUCGGAACGAUGGAUGGCACAGGGCCUACUCCAUCACGCGGCAGAGGCCACUGCUUCUUUGGGAGAAGAGGUAGGGCUGGCUGCCUAGAUGUGCUCUAAUUUGAGGUAACAACUGAAUCUUGUCAGAUACUAGUUAAAUCCGAGCUAUGGGUGUGAAGCACUGAUAUGCUAGUACAUUUGAUUGUGACCUGUUCUAAUUUUGUACCUGAACUUUUUUUAGAAAGGGUUGUACGUCAACUUAAUAUGCUAGCAGAACUUAUUGUGUUGUCUGUCUGUUUUCUUUGCACAACAUUCAAGAUAUUUCCCCGUCAUUGAUAAAGACGAUGAACCAUUAUGUACGACUUCCUUGGUUUCAACAUAGCCCUUCGCGUAGCGAUCCACUGCUUCCAUUCUGAUGUGCCGCCUGCGUGAAACUUUUGUGUGCAAGUUCAGUGUGCUAUGAUGUUCUAUAUGAUUGUAUCAACUAUAUAAGUUUUUACUGAGCAUCAGCAAUGCAUAUGGCUGAAAGAUGUAUUUACGAGCAUCGACCGAUGGGUCUCUCUCUCUACCUCUCUCUCUCUCACACACACACACACACACGCGCGCGCGCGCGCACACACGCACAAGUGGGACCCGUUGAAUUAUUUAUUUGCUCGUGACAGCUUUUAAUUAGGUUCCAUUGUAAUCUAACUUUUUUCUUAAGUUAUUAAUUGAGCUCAGUGACUUCAAAAAGUUGUACAGAAGCCUUGUUUGGGCCUUUCCGGCGUCGCUGAAUGUGGGCUGAGUAACCAAGUUAGGUUGUACUGUACUACACAGGCCUUUUUUUCAACAUCAGCAAUGCAACUGGGCCGACAGUUGAACACAAUAUCCGGGUCAACUUGUUAUUCUCCGCCCUGCUGGGCUGCAAACUUUCCUAGGAGGUAUGCAUUAGGCUUAACAAGAAAAUGGACUUUAAGAAAUAAUAAAUGGGAUGUAAUUAUAAUAACUGGGCAGUAACUAUGCACCAAACACGUAAUUAGUUUAAAAAAUAUAUUAUUUUUGGAAUUUGAACUUUUUAAUUUCAUUACUUGUUGCACGCGCAAUAUUUCGUUGGAUUUUAACGUAAUACAACUUUAUUUUGAAAUUAUAUUUAAACUGACUAGCAAUUUCGGAUAAAAAUAUUUCAGAUCCCAUCAAAAUGUGGGGAAAAAUUUAAUUCUGUUUUGAGCGGUUGUUUGAAAUUAUUAAUCGUUUUCCUAGCUAGAAGUUGGGUUAUACUUUUAACAGACUGUAAAUGGGUUGUACUAAAUUCCAUUAGAAUUAAAAAAUGGGUUGUACAUUCUUACAAAUCGCAAAUGGGCUAUAUGUUCUCUGCCAAAUCCGAGUUGUGGGCCUACUAAGUUGACGCGUACCAAGGGCUUUGUCAACUUAGUCAAUAUAAACGAUUCUAGCUGCAGUGAUUGUACGAUGUCCAUCCAACGGCCGUAGUGCUUCUUCAACCUCUAGUCUUCUUGCUCCAGCCGCCCAAAGCAGUGCCGGUCGUGUCGCGUGCUCCUGCCUCCCGUGGCCGUCUGUGAUGCCGCGGAGGCCUCACCGCCCCGUACUACUUCCACCGCUGGCCAGGCCCUGCGGCGACGGCAGCCGCACACCGCAGCCGAACCAGUGAACCCUCGUACUCCUCUCCGCGCGGGCUUCCACUGCUGUGUCUUCCCUGGCUCCGCGUCGUCUCCUUCCUAGGCCUCGCCGUCGUCCACUGCCCUGGUGCUCUCGGCGCGGCAUGGUCAACGUGGUCAAAGACCGACUUCCAUCGGAAGAGUACUGUACGUGGAGAGGCUGACAGCUAGGUCCAGGCGGCCGCGGAAGUGCCUCCUUAUUACGUGCAAAAUAAUUAUUGCUCCACCUGACAGCAGGGACCCACCGGAUGGGCCACCUUAUUUCAUGAAAAAAACUUUUCCCCCCUGACUGCUGGACCCACCGGACGGGCCACCGUAUUUUGUGAAAAAAAUGUUUCCCCCACUAUUAGCUCAGACCCACCGGAAGUGCCUCCUUAUUACGCACAAAAAAAUGAAUACUCCCCCUGCUAGUUGGGACCCACCAUGGUGGGAGGCUAACUUGUGGGCCUACUAAGUUAACUAGGACGGGGGCCUUUAUCAACUUUAGUCAAUAUGAACGAUUCUAGCUCCAGUGACCAUACGAUGUCCAUCCAACGGCAGUAGUGCUUCUUCAACCUCUGGUCUUCUUGCUCCAACCGCCCAAAGCAGCGCCGGUCAUGCCGCAUGCUCCUGCCUCCUGUGGCCGACUGUGCUGCCACGGAGGCCUCACCGCCCCCUACUAUUCCCACCGCUGGCCAGGCCCUAUGGCGACGGCAGCCUCACACCGCAGUCGAACCAGUGAACCCUCGUACUCCUCUCUAUGCGGGCUUCCACUGCCGCGUCUUCCCUGGCUCCCCGGCGUCCCCUUCCUAGGCCUUGUCGUCGUCCACCGCCGUGGUGCUCUCGGUGCGGCGUGGUCAACGUGGUCAAAGAACGACUUCCAUCGGACGUGGACUGUACGUGGAGAGGCUGACAGCUGGGUCCACGGCCGCAGCAAGGAAGUGCCUCCUUAUUACGUGGAAAAUAAUGAUUCCUCCACCUGACAGCUGGGACCCACCGGACGGGCCACUGUAUUUCACGAAAAAAACGUUUCCCCCUGACUGCUGGGACCCACCAGCUACAUCUUCACACGCAAGGAAGUGCGUCUGAAAAAAAAAUGAUUCGCCCCCCUGACUACUGGGACCCACCAGCUACAUCUUCGCACGCAAGGAAGUGCCUGACAGUCGGGACCCACCUGGUCGAAGCGUAUGUAGCGUUGUCAUGCUGGUUGCGAGUACAUACUAGUGGAUGUAGAGACGCGCACGUGUCGUAGUAAAGGCGCGCACGUGUCGUAGUAGAGGCGCGCAUGUAGCAUGUACACGUACGUACAACGGCCAGGGUGCAAGAAAGAAAAUACGGCCACGUAUGUGUACAUACGGGCGUGGUCUCGAACGCCUACUCGCGCAUACGUACGGCCAGGGCUCGUGUACAUGGUUGGGUCGGAACAGAGAAACAGCAUCGUCAUUGUGUUCAUGGGGAGCCAACCGGCUGGGUCGGAACGGAAUGCAUCGUCGUGUUCAUCGGGGGGGCUUGGACGGAAUCGGCGAUGGAAACGAGGCCUGGUGUACCACAAAACGGAGGAAACGGCCUUGUGUUCGACCGGCCAUGUUCAAAACGGGAUCCUGUUCAUCGGGAGGGGUCUGGCGUACCGCAAAACGGAGGAAACGGACCUCCUGCGGUCAAAACGGGGGUCCUGUUGAUCGGGAGGGGUGUGGCGUACCGCAAAACGGAGGAAACGGACCUCCUACGGUCGAAACGGGGGUCCUGUUGAUUGAGAGGGGUGUGGCGUACCGCAAAACGGACGGAACGGACUUGUGUUGGAGCGCUACGGUCGAAACGAGGGUCAUGUUCAUCGGGAGGGGUGUGGUGUACCGCAAAACGGGACUCCACGGGAUACUGUUCAUCUCCACCGUCGACCUCCUCCAGCCUCCACGGGCUACUGUACAUCCACCGUCGACCUCCUCCAGCCUCCACCUGUGACUGUUCAUCCAUGGGCUCCUGUUCAUCCAGCCUCCACCGCACGCUAUACUCCACCGGCUACUGUUCAACCACCCCUCUCCACGGGCUCCUGUUCAACCACCCCUCCAUGGGCUACUGUUCAUCCACCCCUCCACCGUCUACUGUUCAUCCACCCCUCCACGGGGUUGUCCAGUUCAUCCAGCCUUCCACGGGGUCCUGUUCAUCCAGCCCCAACCGGCUCGAUCGAUCGGGGUCCUGUUCAUCCCGAGGCAACGCCACGGGUCAUGCUCAUCCACUCCCACCGCUCACUGUUCAUCCAAACCCCCCGCAACACUCACUGUUCAUCCAGAGAGGCAGCAUCAAUCGGCUUCAAUUAGCAGCAGUAGCGAAGGAAUCGCUCGGUCGGGUUCAGUUAACAGCCAUCGAUCGAUCGCUCGGGUUCAGUAACACGUAGCCUGCAAUGCAUUCACUCGGGUUCAGUUAGAGCCCAAUGCCUCGCUCGGGUUUAGUUAGAGCCAACGCCUCGCACACACGCGCGUAUGUGUACGAGAUAAACGUGCAUCGCUCGGCCCCCGACCACCCACCGUAACCGGGAAGUCCCCGAAAUUUUCCUCGCCCUCGCUUCUACCACGGCUUUUUCCGUCAUGGACGGCCCAAAGAAUGUCAUGCAGAUGCGUCUCCAGCCCGCCCAGGAAGAAAAGCCCAUUUUCUGUCAUGAUUUUUUGUCAUAGAAGUAGGAGCCCACCACAUCUAUGAUGAUACCGGGUUUUGUCACAAUUAUCGUCAUAGAAGUGUCAUAUGUAUGAUAGGAAAAAAUUCGUUCAGCCCAAAAUGUCAUGGGUGUGUCUUUUUUUUGUAGUGAUUAAACCGGGGCGACGGCUUAGGGGCAAGAUACUCCAAGAGACCCAACAGCGGACAAAGUCAACGCCAGUUAAACCAUUCGCCAUAAAGGCUCGAAGCUUUGAAAGUUGUGGUGCAUACUUAGCUCGUUCCUUUGCAGUAAGUCGUUGGCGAAAUGGAUGUGUAUUGGUAAGCCGGUGAGCACGAUAACCUGGCAGAGGAUUUUCGUCAGCUGGAGCUGUGUCUUGACAAUAAAACCAAGUCUGAUUCUAGUCUUUGGGGUGGCUAUGAUGCUUGGCAUGAGGGAAACUGGCAUCUUUCCAUUUCUGAAUUGAAACUCCGCCAAGUUUAGUAUUGGGCCCAUCCAUAAAUUCAGUAGGGCGGUUUAAGUAAAAGAAGUCUCUGAAUAAUUCAACAGUAGGUUCUUCUUGCAGAUAAGCCUCGCAAAACACUUGAAAAUUGCAAAUAUUGGACACGGAGUUCGGUCCAAUAUCUUGAGGGCGGAUUUGGAAGCUAGCAAGCACAUCAUAGAAGAAUUUUGAUCCGGGAGGGCUAAACCCUCGACCCAUAUGAUCAAUAGACACAAUCACCUCUCCAUCCUUGGGUUCAAGAGGAUUCUCUGGACCGGGGACUCUCCAGUGGAUGACUUCUUUUUUCGCUAAAGCGUCGGUUGCAACAAGUCCGUUUAGCUGUUCUUCCGUAACUCGGGAAGGAACCCAAUUGCAAGCAUAAAAUUGUUUGGCCAUUUGUUAAACAAGACCUGAAGGAAGAUUGGUGUCGGUUUAAGAAAUCAUGAUCAACUGCUAAAAGUAAAGGGGCAGGAAGUAUUCAAGCGUGAAUUCAAGCUUUGUUUGGCGCAUGAAGGUGACACGAUCGGCGACGAGGCAUUGCAAGCAUACAUCCGUUUGUUCGAGCAGCCCUUGAAUGACACCCACAUAGCGGCAGUACUAGCACUGAUCGGAUGGGAGCCCUUGGCCCUUCCGACGGAGGAUAUGGUAGAUGAGGCGAGGGCAUAGCGCCUUCGCCUUUGUGGUUUUCGUGGGCUGUUUCUAUGGUUGUGCAACCAAUGAAAGUGCUUGUGUGGAACGUCCGCGGACUUAACUCCCCGGCGAGGCGUCAUUCUAUCUUCCAAGUGGUGGCUUCGAUCGACCCUAGUAUCGUGUGCAUUCAAGAGACUAAGAUGGAGAGUGUAACGCAGGAAAUUGUCAACCAAUGCCUUGGUAAUAAAUUUGAGUGUUUCUACUUCCUCCCAGCGGCUGGGACGUGCGGAGGCAUUUUGUUGGCUUGGGACCCGCUACUGGUCAUGCUGUCUAACCCUCAUCGUUCGAACAACACCUUGUCCGCCCUUGUGCAGCCCUUGGGGGCGCCAUUUUGGUGGUUUACAGGUGUCUAUGGGCCGUCAUUGGAGGACGCGACCAAGGUAGAAUUUUUACGCGAGUUGGUGGAGGUACGAGAGCUUUUGGCUGGCCCAUGGAUGUUGGCUGGCGAUUUUAACCUUCUUGUCAGCCCGGAGGACAAGAAUAACGACUCCGUCAACCGUCGCAUGAUUAGUCGCUUCCGGUCCAAACUUAACCGGUUGGAGCUCAAGGAGGUAUACUUGAACGGACGCCGCUAUACGUGGUCAAAUGAGAGGUCCAGGAUGACCUUGGAACGAAUUGAUCACGUUUUUGGGACGAAGUGCUGGGAGGAUCUUUACCCCUCUUGCCUCUUAACGGCAUUGGUGGAUUUGCAUGCUGAUUUCCAAUUCGGGAGGCGCUUUAAGUUUGAAUCUUUCUGGCCUAAAGCCCCAGGCUUUAUGCAAACGAUGCAAGACGCAUGGCAUUCCGUCCCAUCGCAGGGUAACCCCUAUGUGGUGUUGAAUAAUAAACUGCGAACCACCGCAAAGCAUCUACAAAGAUGGAGUGAUAAGUGGAUUGGCAAUAUUCGCAUGCAAAUAGCCAUUGCCCUGGAGCUAAUCCUUAGGCUGGAUGUGGCCAUGGAGUCCAGGGAGCUGAGCCGGGCGGAGUUUGAACUUCGCAAGCUUCUCAAGAGGAAACUUCUUGGGCUUUCCUCCCUCCAACGCACGAUUGCAAGGCAGCGCUCUAGACUGCUGCACCUAAAGGAGGGAGAUGCAAACACUGAGUUCUUUCAUCGGCACGCGAGGCAUCGAUAAUGCAAAAAUGUGAUCAUGUCGCUCCGGCACAACAACGAGGUGAUAACGGGCCAAGAGAAUAUUGCGGAGGUGGUGGAUGCUUACUAUGGGGCCCUGCUUGGUUCCGCGAGGGGACGCCAGCAUACCAUUGACUUAGACGAGCUAUGUUUUCCCUCCUUGGACCCACAUCACUUGGAAGUGCCGUUCACGGAGGAGGAGGUAUUUGCUGUGAUCAAAACCAUGCCUAUGGAUAAGGCGCCCGGGCCGGACGGGUUUACGACCAGGUUUUAUGCAUCCUGUUGGAGCAUCAUCAAGGAAGAUCUUAUGAAGGCUUUCUCUGCCUUCUACCGUGGGGACACGCGAGGUUUACCGGCACUAAACAAAGCCCUGGUAACCCUGCUGCCUAAGAAGUAUGGUGCUGAGGAGUUGAAGUAUUACCGUCCCAUCAGUCUGCUACAUGGCGCGGCAAAAAUCUUCGACAAGGUUUUGGCCUGCCGACUCACGAGCGAGCUGCCGCACUUGGUGGGCCAACACCAAAGUGCCUUUGUUAAGGGCCGAUUCCUCCCUGAUAAUUUCAUGCUCUCCCAAUGCACGGCUCGACGUCUCCACGCCUUAAAGCAACCGGCCGUGAUGGUGAAAUUGGAUAUCUCAAAGGCUUUCGACACGGUCCAGUGGCCCUUUCUUCUCGAAGUUCUGCAACGCAUGGGUUUUGGCGCACGGUGGAUAUCUUGGAUAGUGGGACUCCUCUCCACGCCGCCCACCCGCAUCAUGGUAAAUGGAGUGCCCGGGGCCCCGAUCUUCAAUUGCUGCGGGCUCCGCCAAGGAGGCCCGUUAUCGCCGAUGCUCUUGAUUCUUAUCAUGGAGCCACUGCACUGUCUCUUCAAGUUGGCCUCCGAGCUCGGCAUUCUGACUCCACUGGCGCGCACGGGUCUUGAGCACCGUUUGUCCAUCUUCGCGGAUGAUGUGAUCAUUUUCAUCAAACCGAUGGACCUUGAGCUAACUACCACUUUAAGGAUCUUGCAAAUGUAUGGCAUGGCGUCUGGCCUCCGGGUAAAUAUGCAAAAAACAUCGGCCACGCCCAUACGAUGCUCGGAGGAUGAGGUGGCGUGCGUGGAAGGUAUCCUGGGAUGCAGUAUUGGAUCAUUCCCAUGCAAAUAUCUAGGCCUCCCCCUAUGUCUGAAGAAACCCUCAGCGGCACAACUAAGCGGAUUGGUGGAGACGCUGGCAACUCGUCUGCCCACCUGGAAGGCGGCGACCCUACCCAAAAGUGGCAGACUCAUUCUGGUCCUCUCAGCGCUAUGCUCGAUCCCUCUGCACGCGAUGAUUGCGCUGGACCUACCCAUCAAGACGAUAGCGGCCAUGAACAAGAUAAUCAGAGGGUUCCUAUGGUGUGGCAAAGCUCAAGCUAAUGGAGGGCACUACUCUGUGGCUUGGGAGGAGGUGUGCACACCACGCUGGGCAGGAGGCCUGGGUAUACCGAGCCUUAGGUGGCUAAAUGUUGCAAUGCAAGCUCGUUGGGCUUGGUUGCAUCGUGUGGACCGGGAUCGUCCUUGGGCAGAGUUCAAGUUUGCCCUCCCCAAGGCUUCUCUUGCGAUGGUUGCAGCAGCCACCAAGGUGACAGUAGGGAAUGGCAAAGGUGCCCUCUUUUGGGAAGACCGCUGGCUACAUGGCGCGAGGAUUCAGGAGUUUGCACCCGGCAUAUAUGAUAGAGUAAGGAAGCGAGUAAAGGACACACAGAAAGUUUACGAGGCCAUCACGCUAGGGUCUUGGACUCGCGAUAUCGACCCCAACAUGGCUUACGAAACUCUCAUGGAGUACCUGAGACCUGGCAGAGAUUGCAAGGGAUACAGCUCCAGGAACACACCCCUGACUCCAUAGUUUGGGCUUGGGAACCGAACGGCCAAUUCUUGGUCCGUUCUGCCUAUGCUGCACAGUUUGCUGGCAGGGAGGUGGCGCCUGCGGCGGACUUUUGUUGGAGAUCUAGGGCACCUCUCAAGUGCCGCUUCUUCACCUGGCUGGCCAUGAGGAACAGAUGCUGGACUUCGGAUCGACUGGCCCGACGCGGCCUCCCGCACCAGGAUGCAUGCCCAUUUUGUGACCAAGAGGAGGAAACCAUAGACCACAUUCUUCUAGCCUGUGUGUUCGCCAGGACUGUCUGGAGAACCCUGUGCUCAGCCCUUGGGAAACCGCAGUGGGAACCAACUACACAAGACACCCUCAAGGAGUGGUGUGUUGCAAGAACGUCAGGCGUGCACAAGCCGAAGGAGUUGAGGGCGCUUCUUACUCUCGGCCUUUGGGAGCUUUGGAAACACAGGAAUGCGGUUGUCUUCGAUGGCGCCUCUCCAUCACUAGAGGUGGUCAUUAGGCGCGUCGUCGCGGAGGGUAGAGCUUGGCAGCACGCGGGCCUGUUGAAAGGUGAAGUAGACAGCAUGCUUCAGCUUCUAGCAGGGUGGGCAAGCAGCGAGUAGUCGGGUUAGUUGUUGCGCAGGUGGACUGUCGACCGCGCUGUGUGCUGUGUGUGUGCUGAUGUGAUGUUAUGUAGCGUUUAAAUCUUUGUAACAUCAACGGUGGCUGGGAUUCUUCCCCCCCCCCUUCUUCUUCUAUAUAAGAUGAUACACACACUCGUGCGUAUUUGAGAAAAAAGGAGAUAUACAUUAUCAGCUUGCAGAGAUAAGCGGUUGGCGGUUUAAGAGGGGACUAAUGGUAUACUGGCGGGUUAUGGCUCCAAGGUAAAACCGCCCGCACAGCUGCCAAUUGUCAGAUCGGUGAGUUAAAAAUUGCUAAGUGUUGUAGAAACAGGUUUUACAGUUUGAUGUUAUAAUUUUGGAAAUACCGCAGUUCAAAAAAGGAAAAAAUUCUUGAACCCUAAGUUGUGAUAGCGGAGCAGUUCAUGGAUUCAGAUGGGAUCUCUUGCAAAAGGGGAGGCUUUCAAGUAUUAAAAAUGAGUGCUAAGAUCAGUACCGCGCGCGAUAAGCACUAGGCCUUGCAUCAAAAAGCUACAAGACAGGGGAAGCAAAAAGGAAUGGAGAUGAACUACCAAAGAACUCGAGAACGCCUUAAUGCAGAUUUAGGGUAAGAGAAAGGGGAGACUCACUGAAGUUGUUGAACAGCGGAGAGGCGCGAACAAAUUCAGGUGCGUUCAGGUCGAUGCAGGAGCCAAGGAUGAUGCAGCGGUUGAAGGUCGAUGGCGGCAUCGGAGCUUCAGGGCUCGGGCGUCGCGAGGUUGACGAUGAGACGAAGAGGCAUGGAGGAGAAAAGAUAAAGGGACCCUCCAGUUCUAUUUAUAAGGUGAAUGGAUAAAGGACAGGCGCGGGAAUCAAGGAGGCCAAAAAAGCGGGGCUGUAGGCGUGGAGGCGCCUCGAUUUUCGGAGAUCCAUUAAAGAAAAAGAGGAUAUAUUAAAAGAUUUAGGUUCUGUGAAGAGUUAAUGGCAAGUGACAUCACGGCAAGUUAUCAUGGUGUCAGAGGAUGACAUCAUGGCGAGUUAUGAAAAUCUUACGAAAGAAAUGAAGGAGGGAUUUUUCUAAGUGUUGAAGAUUGAUGUGAACAGGUUCAAAUCAACCUGGGGCCUAAUGUUGGGGAUAUAACUGGUGGGUAUAAACCGCCUAGGAGGGGCCGGUUUAUCAACAGAGAGGCUGCCAAUAUUGAAGCCCAUGAAGUUAUAGAAGACAGCGACUUAUGAAGGAAACAUAAAAGGGAGCCCAAAGCCCAAAGGCGGGUUAGGGCCCAUAGACAUAAACCGCCAUAGGCGUGUAACUUGUAAUGUAAGGUAGGAAAGAAUAGAUACCGAGCCGGACACGUUUGUGAACCAGCCUCGGGAUUCUGUAGACCGACAUGUGUCAACCUGUGUAUAUAAAGGGACGACCCGGCGGCGGUUUAGGGACAAGAAACAACAACUCGAGAGCCAGGUUACGCGUAUUCGCUCCCUGGUUAUCGAAACCCUAGCAAUUCCACAACAACUGGGUCCUAGGCUUUUACCUUCACCGCAAGGGUCCAAACCAGUAUAAACUCCUUGUGUCCUUUGUCCAGUUUAACCCCUUUAAGCUAAUCUCGUUGCGAUGGCUCCACGACUAAGUCGACACACUAGGACAUCUGACGUGACAAUUCCACGAUAGUACCUGAUAAAAAGGAAAUAUCCGCUCAACAAAGUACACAUGUCGGGAGGUGUACACACGGUGGGAGAUGGGGUCGUAGCACCGGUAACCUUUGGUGUUAGGGGGAUAUCCUAGAAAGAUACACACUACGGAGCGAGGAGCGAGUUUGUGUGGUGUGGUGGAGGCGGUGCUAGGAUAACACAAGCAACCGAAGAUGUGAAGACCAUCGUAGGAUGGAGGGGAACCGAAGAGAAGAUGAUGUGGGGUGUAGUUCCAACGAGGACGACAUGGCCUAAUUGUAACAUCCCAAAUUUUCAAUUUGGAAUGUUAUACAUAGAUCAUCAUUGCAUAUCAUAUUUGGUUGCAUCUUUGGCUCGAUCCUAGAAAUCCUAUGCAACUCAAGGACCCACGGAGAGAGUUGGGGAUUUCGUUAUUUUCUUAUUUGAGUUUUUCUCAAGUUUUGAAAAUAGGAUCAUUGAUUUUAUUUAUUUUAUCUUCAAUUAUUUCUACUACCAAAAAUUCAGAGAGGGAAUAAAAUGACUUUCCCAAAAUAAAGAAAUAAUGAAGAUUUAAUAAAAAAUCAAAUAAGAUUUAUUUUGGAGUUUUUCGCCUUUUAUUUGAAUUUAGGAAAAUGCGUGUUUUUCAAAAUUGCACUUAGGACCCAAAUAAAUGUUCAUCUUGUCCGCUUGAUUUUAGAACCCGGGGAAAAUUUAUUUCGGGAUUUUUGGAGUCCGUUUAGUAUUUCUUUUUAUUUUUCUUCUGCGCAGAAUUAUUUUAAAAAAACGCAACCGACCUACGGGCCGUGCCCGAGCGGGACUCCGCCCGGGGGCGCCUNNNNNNNNNNNNNNNNNNNNNNNNNNNNNNNNNNNNNNNNNNNNNNNNNNNNNNNNNNNNNNNNNNNNNNNNNNNNNNNNNNNNNNNNNNNNNNNNNNNNNNNNNNNNNNNNNNNNNNNNNNNNNNNNNNNNNNNNNNNNNNNNNNNNNNNNNNNNNNNNNNNNNNNNNNNNNNNNNNNNNNNNNNNNNNNNNNNNNNNNNNNNNNNNNNNNNNNNNNNNNNNNNNNNNNNNNNNNNNNNNNNNNNNNNNNNNNNNNNNNNNNNNNNNNNNNNNNNNNNNNNNNNNNNNNNNNNNNNNNNNNNNNNNNNNNNNNNNNNCGAGGUUCGCCGCCGUCUCGAACCGCGUGCCACCGGUUUUCUUAAAAAAACCGGACAGUUUUAUUUCGGUUUUGUUCGGGUUUUUUCUAGAUUCGUUUUUUUUUAUUUUAGUUUUCGGUUUUUUUUCUGGUUAGGUUAAUUAGCGGAGUUCGUCCUUUAGUGCGUUUUGACGAACGCUUUUCGUCAGAUUCGUUUAGUUAACGAACGUUCGUUCGUUAACCCGUUCGUCGUUUUUUCUUUUUCUUGGAUUUAAUCCGCGAUUUUUCUAAUCGCGAUUCCUGAUCCGAUUUUCGUUUUAGCUUAACUUUUCGCUCGUUUAUCGGAAUCAGGCGAUUCAAGCGCCUGGAGUUUCGUCUCGAAACCCUCUUUCCGAAUAAUCUACUUAAACAAGUUUUUGCUUCUGUAAAAUUUGACUUAGAUCCAGAUUAGUAAAACGAAGCUGUUUUCUUUUGCCGUUUGACUUUCGGUGCUUUAUUUGAUUUGAUUCUUUUUGCAAACCGGAGUUCUUAAGUUGAACAUCCUGGUUAGAUCUUUUACUCGAGUUUUACCUGUGCAUUAGAUGAGUACUUAUUGUAUGCUUGUUUGUUUGUCUGCGAUAGAAUACCCGGAGUGCGCCGCCUGUUACUUCGAGUCUCUAGGUUUCGCGGAUCAUCAGCAAGGAAAGUAACAUUUGAUCAUACCUUUUCUCAUACCCAGUUUUUAUGCAUUAGAUCUAUCCUCAAACAUUGCAUUGACUAGGAUCUAAUUAAAUUGUGGGAUGGGAAGUAGAUUGAGGUAGUACCUAUUACCUGUUUUAUUUUCAAACCUUUGGGAGUUACUUCUACGUUUGCUUAUUAUGCCAUGCUAUGCUAGUAGACGUGGAUUGGGUGAGUGAAUAUCCAUGAUAGAUGUGAGAUUGUUAAUUAAUGGUUUAUUUAAGGUGGCAACUUAAACACACAUCUGGGUGGAUUGAGGCACCUGUUUUCUAGCAGGACUUGCCUGUAUUUCUUCGGACCGCCACCCAGGCUCAAAGGGACCAUGAGAUUAUUCAAACUAGAAACUUCCGUGUGCAGCCACAUGCUAUUAUGGGCUCUAGCAUAAUUGACUAAGUUGUGCGAACUCUUACGGGGUGGACUAGCAGAUGUAGGGGAUGUAGGUUGGUACGGUCUACCCCUCAUGUAAGGUGCUAGUGCUUCUGAAAGACUAUGUCUCGGUCAUCCGUUUCUCAAACAUCAUGUAGUACGAGAAUCCAAGUGGAGGCGAUCGAGUCAUGUGGGGAAAAGUGCGCAAACCUCUGCAGAGUGUAUAAACUAAUCAUGGUUAGCCGUGUCCCCGGUUAUGGACAUCUUGAGUAUCUAGUACCUGGAUAUCAUGUGAAUUUCAUCAUGUUACUCUAAUUAAUAUUGUUGGGUUUAAUGAGUACUUUUUAAUUGGGAUUGAGAAUGUUGUCAACCAUUCUCAAUGUUUAACAACCACCAUGAUAGUUAAAUGAAUUUAUUCCUUUCAAAUAGGGAAAAAUUGGCUUUAUGCAAAAAACUGUAACCAUAGAGCUUUACCACCAGCCAAAUAUGCAUGUAGUAUAGCCUAUCUCCAUUGUUAUUCUCUAUGUGUUACAUUGCCAGCAUAUUCCAUGUGCUGACCCGUUUUCAGGCUGCAACGUUUCAUGUUGCAGACUUUUCAGACGACGAGUAAGGUGCUUUUAGGUCGUGGUUCUAUACUCAGUGAUGCCGUUCGAGUUGAUGGACUCGCUUAUCUUCCAAGUCUUCCGCUGUUAUCGUUUUUAGAUGGCCUUAAGCCAUAUACAUUUUAAUAAGUUCUCUUUUGAGACAUUCGAUGUAAUAAGUGUGUGAUUGUUACUCUGUUAUAAAUCAUCCAAGUACUGUGUGGUGUCAGCAUUACUGAUCCAGGGAUGACACUGAGCACAGAGAUCAGACUGUUUGAGGUCUGGUCGCUACAAUGUGGUAUCAGAGCACAUGCUGACUGUAGGACACGGCCUCUAAGCUUAAGCCCUAGAUCACUACUCUUUCUUCUCAUUUCUGACUCCUCAUCUUUUUUAUUCUUUAGGAUGGCGGAUGCAAGGAUCAAGUUCGCGCAACCAGAUGAGAAUUCACCUUUUGGAUGUCACUUGAAGGAAGCCACUAGAUACCUGAACAUAGGAGUACCAAGCUUCACCGGGACCUUCAACGCCACUUUACCCGAAGAGGAGCGCUGGAGGAUUCAAGUCUACAUUCCAGGAAGGACGUUUGCACCAGUCACAGAGCCAACAGAGUUUACCUUUGAUGUGCCAACAUGGAGCCUAGGAAAGAGCAUGGUAGCUAACAUCGCCAUGGGACGAAUUGGAGAAGUUUACCACAACGACCUCAAGAAUACUAUCUACCAGAUUUGUGGGCGCCGAGAUGAGCAUUGGGAGAUGAUCACCACCAGGAAGGACAGAUCAAUCGCAGCUUAUAUUCAGGAGUUAAACCAACACAUCCGACACUAGGAGAAUCAGAUGUGCGCAGAUAUGGAGGAGCUACAGAAGGCUAUGACCAGGAUCAAGGAGCUAGAAGCAGAACUCAAGGCUACACGUAAAGACUAUAUGGAAGAAAUCAUCGCUCUAGUAAGACAGAACGGAGACCUUAAGGAGAAGAUUGGAGUAUUCAUGGGAGGAUCAACACCCAGAGAGGAAGAGGACGAACCUACUUGCCCAGAUAAUUAUAUCAUCAUCGACGACACCGACUCGGAUCCCGACGACAGCGAUGAUGACUAUGUUGAUGAAGCCGGAGCAGAUAUCAUGGAGUCUUCAUCGGAGCAGUUUUUCUAGUUGACCACCAUAACAGUAGUAGAAUUUUCCACCAUUUAAUUAGUUCUAGUCCAAGCACUUUUGUAACGAUAGUUAGACCGUUGUAUGCCCUUGUUUGAAUUGAUUGGAAUGAUAUUGAGUGUUUUUGUCUCAUGUGCAUAUGGGUAGUGUUAUCUCACUAGACCUCAUUCUAUUCUUAACUCUUCCCUUUAAACCCUCAGAUGCCUCCGAGACGCGACCCCGAGUUUGUUUUUCCGCCAGAGAUCACUCAGUUGAUUCAGCAGUAGAAUACCUUGAUUCAAACAUUGGUAUAGAACCAAGGCAACAACAACCCACCACCACCACCACCUGUUGACCAUCUGGCACGUUUCUUAAGGUUGAAUCCGCCGGUGUUUUCCAGUAGCACCGAGCCGAUAGUAGCAGAUGAUUGGCUCCGUAAGAUAGGAAGGGAGUUGACUACUGCAGGAUGCACAGAUGGAGAAAAGGUGAAGUUUGCCGCACAUCAGCUUGACGGACCCGCAGCAGCAUGGUGGGAGAAUUUUACAGCCACUUACCCUGUAGACACUGUCACAUGGAAUCAGUUUCAGCAAGCUUUUCGUACUGCCCAUGUUUCAGCAGGAGCUAUGGCCAUGAAGAAGCAUGAGUUUUGCAACUUACGCCAAGGAGGACGGACAGUUGGCCAGUACAUGGAUGAUUUUAGUAAGCUAGCACGUUAUGCCCCAGAUGACGUUGCUACGGAUGCAGCUAAGCAGGAGAAGUUUCUAGAAGGAUUGAAUGAUGAGCUGAGCAUGCAGUUGAUGGUAGCCACUUUCAAUAACUACCAGGAGUUAGUAGAUCGUGCUCUUAUGAUUGAAGGGAAGCAGCAGCAGAUUGACAAUCAUAAGAGGAAGUAUGGACAGGGGAAGUACAAUUCUGGAGCUUAGCAGAAGCCACGCUUUACCCCAAAGUCAGGAGGGCAUUUUCAGCAUACUCAUGGAGGAGGCAGCUCGCACAAUCACAAUGGCACAAGGAAUGGGAACGGGAAUGGAGGAAGCAAUGGACAAAGCCGCACCAACCCGUCAACACCAUCCAAGGCAGACCUGAGCCAUAUCACCUGUUACAAGUGCCGCAAGACGGGGCAUUAUGCAAAUGACUGCCCAGAAGCCCAAAAUGGAAAUGGCAAUGGAAGCUCAGGAAAGAAGCCGAACCCUUUCAACAGGGGGCAAGUAAACCACGUUAUCGUGGAGGAGGUUGAAGCUCAGCCAGAUGAAGUAAUAGGUAAGUUUUUGGUUAAGACAUUUACUGCAGUCACUACAGGAAUCAGCUACUUUGCCGUCUGCCACGGCGGACGGCAAAGGCAUGAACGGUGGACGGCAAAGGCCUUUGCCGUCAGCCGCGGACGGCAAAAGGCUCCGGCAAAGUAGGCUACGGUAAACAGCUACUUUGCCGUCUGCUUCCUGGCGGCUGACGGCAAAGGCCCUUUGCCGUCUGCGGCGGACGGCAAAGAGAGCGGACAGCAAUAAUUGCGCUGUCAGUCCAUUAAGUGGCUAACGGCAGGCCUUUGCCGUCCGCCGCUGACGGCAAAAUUUCUAGUGUCUUUGCCGUCCGCCGUAUGAUGUCAUCUACACGUCACUACAUGGCAGGUUCUUUGCCGUCUGCCACUGAUGGCAAAGUGCAGGUUCUUUGUCGUCCGCCACUGAUGGCAAAGUCUUUGCCGUCUGCCAUUAUAGGCAAACUGACCAAAUGGGUCAGCUCCCAGGAAGCACAGCUAGAUGCCACGUGUCUUCUUUGCCGUCCGCGGUAGACGGCAAAGAGCCCGUUGUCGUCGGUGGCAGACAGCAAAGAGCCUACAUAUUGGCUCUUUUAUCUGUUUUUUAUUAAAUCCAACAAUUUUCAUCACAAAUAUAUAUGACAUAUAUAGAUAUAUUUCAAAAGGCCAUUACAGAGCAAACAUAUAAGAUAUCCAACACAUAACUUCAUCAUCCAACCAUAUAUAUUACAUGCAUAGUUCCAUCAUACAUAACAAGUUCAACAUAGAGGCAUCCAACCAUAUAUAUUACAACAGUUUCAUCCAACGAUACAUGCAUAGUUCACCGAUACAAAAGAAACAUAGAAAGGGAUAAGGAGCACUCCAUCUAUGCAAGCUUUCAUCAAGUGAAUGAAAUAUGCAAAAUGAAAAAUAAGAAAGUUAAAACAAGAAGAGUAGAACAAGAAGAAGAGUAGAACAAGAAGAAGACUAGAACAAGAAGAGUAGAACAAGAAGAAGACUAGAACAAGAAGAGUAUAUCAUUUAUGAGCUAACUUAUAUGAAAUGGAUCGUAUAUGAGCUAACUAAGUUGAAAUGGAUCGUUUAUGAGCUAGCUAAGGUGAAAUGGAUCAUUUAUGAGCUAACUUAGUUGAAAUGGGUCGUUUAUGAGCUAACUAAGGUCAAAUGGAUCGUUUUUGAGGUAACUAAGGUGAAAUGGAUCGUUUUUUAGCUAACUUAGGUGAAAUGGAUCAUUUAUGAGCUAACUUAGUUGAAAUGGAUCGUUUUUUAGCUAACUUAGGUGAAAUGGAUCAUUUAUGAGCUAAUUUAGUUGAAAUGGAUCUUUUUGAGCUAACUUAGGUGAAAUGGAUCAUUUAAGAGCUAAUUUAGGUGAAAUGGAUCAUUUUUUAGCUAACUUGGUGAAAUGGAUCGUUUAUGAGCUAAAUUAGUUGAAAUGGAUCGUUUAUGAGAUAACCUAGGUAAGAUGGGUCAUUUUGGAGUUAACCUAGGUGAAAUGGGUCAUUUUAAAGCUAACGUAGGUAAAAUGGAUCAUUUAGGAGCUAAUCUAGGUAAAAUGGGUCAUUUUUGAGCUAACUUGGAUGAACUGGAUCAUUCAUAAGCUAACCUAGGUAAAAUGGGUCAUUUUAGAGCUAACUUAGGUAAAAUGGAUCGUCUAUGAGCUAACUAAGCUAAUUAUGCAAUUUUUGACAUAAGUAAGCUAAGUACAUAUCGUUUUAGAGCUAACUUAGGUAAAAUGGAUGGUUUUGGAGGUCAGUAAGCUUAUUAAGUCAUUUUGGAGGAGAAGAAGCUAAGUCUAGGUCAUUAUGGUAAGCAUUGGAGGAAAUAAAGCUAAGUCUAGGUCUUUAUGCAUGUGUUAAGCAAAACACUAGAUAAACUUACCAAGAUCCAGGAGGUGUAGGAGCGGGGUGGCUCGUGUCGGUAGCUGGAGAAGGAUCGUGCGAUGCUUGUCUGGAGUUAUGCUGCACCAAAGAUCAUUUCCAAUGUCUUGUUAGCAUGAUGACACUCAAAUGUUAAGACUAGCAAGUAAUGUCCAUUCAAAUAAAACUCACCGUGGUCCCAGGAGCAAUCACUGGCAUCGGCGGAGCGGUCUGACCUGUCUUCUCGCACACAGACUGCACAUUUGGUUUUGACGACUCAGUCAUACUAGUUAGUAAUGAGACAAACACUACAUGAAUGUUUUGGCUAAUCUGUAGAAGAAACUUACCACAAGGAGCUCGUACAUGGCCCUUGCCUGCAUGUCAUUCCGUGCCCUCUCCUCCUCCAUCAUCUUUGUCGUCCUCUCCUCCAACUCUUGCUGCCUCUCCGCCGCCUCCGCCAGAAGUUUCUCCGUUCUAUCUCUCUCACUCUGUAUAGCAGCCUGCAACAACACUCACAUGACCAUUUGUAAUCAUUGAUGGAAGCGCACACAAUGUAAUGGAGAAAGAUAACUGAGUACGUAUCACUAACCUUGAUGGCGAGUUGCACUGGCCGUUCACGAGGCCUUAUCUCAGGAGCGGAGCUCGACUGGCGUGCCUUGAUCUCCGGGAGAGUGCUAGGACAACGGAUAAGUCCAUCUCCAAUGGCUAUGGAGCCAUGGGACCUCCCGCCACCAGAUAUCAUCAACAGCUCUGGAUUAAUGGGACCCUGGCUCGGGUUAAAGUCCUCCCCUUUCCUCGCCUUCCCCUCAUCUCUAUAUCUCACGAGCUUGUUGUGGGAGGAGAUGUUGGUGAAGUUGUUUGCAUCAUCGAGGUCAGACUGAGAGAAAGCCUUGACUUUCUUGAAAGAGGCAGUGUGGGCCAUGGCAUACAGGUCGUACACCUCUGGCACCUUAUCCGCCUUAUUGUAGCGUGCCUGAAAGAGAGAAACAAUGAAAAUUAGUAAUUAAAGGGCUCAAGCUAGCAUGAUGAAUGAAUUGCAUGAAUCAUGAGGCAAACCGCAUACCCAGUUGCGCCCGAACUGAUAUAAGUUGGAGCUGCCUUGAUGGUGUGGCACACCUUCCAUUUGGGCACGUUUGUCCUUGGCCUCGUUGUGGAGGGCUAGCCAUUGUUUUGAGCACCACUCAUCGACCAACACCUCCCAACAAUCCAUCCGAUCCGCACACCAUCUCGGAGGCGCCUAAGUUAGCAAAUAGAAACUUGAGCGCUACGGCUAAGAAUUACUAAAUGAAGGAACUUAAGUAGAGAAGGCCUUAAGAAUUACCUUCAUGUGCUGCUCCUUACUCAGGAACUUAUCACGGCACACCGGCUUGGUCUUCUUGAUGAGUGCUUUGGUCGCCUGUUGAGCCAUAAUAUAGACAUCAGGAACAUCUAAAUGAGUGCUUUGGUUGAUUUCAACUAGCCCUACAUGUUCAUGAGUCCUUCUAGUCUCCUUCGGCUGAAACCAAUAACAUUUGAAGACUACGACAUUCGGUGGGUUUUCACCAUAGAACAGAAGUUCAUAAAUUGCUUCAACUCUCCCAUAAUACUCGAUACCUCCUUCGCCGAUAGCAGAUACACAACAAUUUGUUGACUUUCGGUCGGCCAUAGAUAGCUCUUUGCCAUAGGUACGAAAGCGAUACCCGUUGAUGUCGUACUUGUCAAAUGAACGGACCUUAUAGUCAAAACCAUUAGCGACUUGUCUCAAUUCAGCGUCCAUAGACUCUGAAUUAGCCUACAAGUUUAAUAUGAAAGGAUUGUUGCAUUAUGCACAAAUUAGCAAAUGAAAUGAAAUUGUGUAAUAGAAAUUACCGUUUGUUUGAACCAAGAGAUGAAACCGGGAUAGCCACCUCCUUGCUUUGCGAGAAGCUCAUACUCUUCGACGGAAUCCUUUUGGAUCUCCGCUCCAUAUGAGAAUAUGGCGACGUAUCGACUGUAUGACAUAUCCAGGAAUAAGAGUAGUUCAAAGGAAAUAGAAGUUGCGAAACAAUGUACCGAGAACUUACUCGAUGUACGGCCGCACUUCUAUCAGGUUGUUGAAGAUAUACAACGAAAUGGUCCGCCAUUCUUCGUUAUCCAAAGAUACUGGAUGUGAAACACUAGCUGGUGCGAGAUUCCCUUUGAAUAGGCUGAGGUUGGAUCCACCCUUUUUAGGCUCGUCAGCAUUGUACCGAGGCUUCGGAUUAUGCAAAUGACGAUUUUUGGCUUUGUAGUGCGCUGUUACGAAGUUUGCCACCUCCUCUGUGAUGAAUGCCUCAGCCAUCGAUGCUUCAAUUCUACAUUUAUUUUUACAUUUUUCUCGAAGCGUCUUCUGCAUCCUCUCAGUUGGGUAGCACCAACGAUUUUGCACGGGCCCCCCCAAUCUUGCCUCGGUCGGGAGAUGCAAAAUCAAAUGCUGCAUUGGAUUAAAGAAGCCCGGUGGAAAGAUCUUCUCUAACUUGCAGAUCAACUCCGGCGCCAACUCUUCCAUUUCUUCUAGCACGCCAGGCGAUAGUUCUUUCGCACAAAGAACACAGAAGAAAUAGCUGAGUUCUGCCAGUACUAGCCAUUCAUCCUCAGGGAUGAAGCCACGCAACAUCACCGGCAUUACCCGCUCAAUCCAUAUGUGCCAAUCAUGACUCUUGAGACCAAAUAUCUUCAGUUUAUCAAGAUUCACUCCCCUCUUUAGAUUCGCUGCAUACCCAUCGGGGAACAUCAACUGCUGUUGCACCCACAAGAGAAUUUCCCUCAUAGCUGGCCUUCCAAGAUUGAACCAUGCCUUUGGCUUCGUCCAGUUCUGCUUUCCUUUCGGUUCUUUCAUGUUUUGUAACGGCCUAUCACAUAGCGCCUCCAGAUCGACUCUAGCCUUAGUAUUAUCCUUUGACUUCCCAUCUAUGCCGAAUAAUGUACCAAAAAGUGCCUCGGCGAUAUUCUUCUCAGUGUGCAUCACGUCGAUGUUGUGUGGGCAAAGGAGGUCUUUGAAGUAAGGCAGAUCCCAUAAGCAUGUUUUGUGAGUCCACGCGUGCUUAGUAUUAUACCCCUUGAAGUACCCUGGACGUUGUGGAUCUGGCUCGAGAGUGUUUAACUGAUCCAGGGUCUGUUGGCCUGUCAAUGCAGGUGGUGCAGAGUUUUUGACAACUCUACCCCUGAUGAAGUUCUUCUUGUCUUCCCUGAACUUAUGGCGAGGAUCCAGGAACUGUCUAUGCAUGUCGAAGCAAGAAAACUUGCGACUGGCCUGAAGCCAACGAAACUCAAGAGCUCCCUUGCAUAUGGGGCACGGGAACCUUCCAUGCACACACCAGCCAACGAAUAGCGCAUACGCCGGCAAGUCAUGCGUCGAGUACAUGUACCAGACACGCAUUAUGAAGUUCCAUUUGCUAAAGGCGUCGCAUGUCUUGAACCCAUUAUCCCAGGCUUCUUGCAAUUCGUCCUUAAGCGGUUGCAUGUACACAUUCAUAUUUUUGCCCGGAUAGUUGGGUCCUGGAAUUAUCAACGUCAGGAAAAUGUUCUUUCUUUGCAUAAUCUGUCCGGGGGGGAGAUUGAGUGGAAAGACAAAUACGGGCCAACAACUGUAUUGGGCUGCCGUCAUACCAAACACAUUGAACCCAUCCGUGCUGAUGCCGACUCGAGGAUGCCUCGGAUCUGCCGCUUCGUCAGCAUGUAAUUCAUCAAACUUUUUCCACGCAACACCAUCCGAUGUGUGUACCAUCAUCAGAUUCCCAUCUGCAUCUAGUUCGGUUCUUUUGCCUGUUUUGUGCCAUGUCAUCUGUCUGGCCGUCUCUUCGACCAUGAAAAGACGUUGAAGUCUUGGUACGAUUGGCAUAUACCGAAGAAAACUAACGGGGAUUUUGGUCUGUGUCUUCUCACCCAUACCGUUGUCUACCACAAUAUACCUGGAAGACUUGCAAAUGGGACAAUAGUUCAAGUCCGCAUAGUCAAGCCUAAAUAAGGCACAUCCUUUCUCACAGGCAUGUAUCUUCUCAUAGGGCAUCUUCAGUGCAUGGAGGAUUUUGUCCGACUAGUACAGGUUUGCAGGCAUUACAUGGCCUUUGGGUAGAAAGCGUCCAAAUACUAUCAUAAUUGCGUCAUAGCAUUCUCUGCCCAAGUUGAACUGAGCCUUCAGAGCCAUUACUUGUGAGAUGGCAUCCAACUGACAAAGCUUAGUGUGCUCGUGGAGCGGACGUUUCGAAGACUCCAACAUUUCAUUGAAGGCCUUUGCAGAUUCCUCCAUCUCCUCGUCCGAAUCCCGAGCAUCAUCAUAGCCUUGCACCAUGUUUUCCAUCCCGGUACCAUGCUCGUCGGUGCGACGACGAUCCACCUCAGCUCGGUCACGUUGGGCAGACUCACCAUGAAAUGUCCACACCGUAUAAUCGGGCGUAAAACCACUCUUCUGCAGGUGUUUGCCCAUUUCAGCCUCUAUCUUCUUUUCCCAAUUGCCGCACCGGAAACAGGGGCACCAGGUUUUCUUUUGGCCAUUUGCAAAUGCGGCUUGCACAAACCCCUUAGUUUUUGUGAACCAUUCAGCGCUCCAUUUGUUCUGACCAGUGUGACCGGUAUACAUCCAAGCACGGUCACUCAUCUUGACUUUCAGAGCUACUGGACACACAACAAUUAUAUAUGUAAUUCACCAUGUAUAUAUUCAUCAGUUGAUCUACUUUGUCAAUUUUAUUACGUCCAUGCAACCUACACUCUAAUAGGUAAUGAUAGGUCCUAAUCCCACCCGUGUAUGUGUAGAUUGGGUUCAUUUUCCCAUGCUAUGCUCCGGAUCCGACGCAAAAUUUUGGCAGCACCUCCCCGCUGUUCUCCUGAUACACGUCUCUGCAAUAAACAGAGAGGAUGUGUACCCGGAGAACAACAGGGGAGGCACUGACGAAAUAUAUGCGUCGGAUCCGAAGCAAAGCAUAUGGGAAAACAAACCCAAUCUACACAUACUCGGGCUGUCCAUGGAUAGCGUUGGACAAUUCGAAAGAAUCAAGGUUAUAAAUAUGCAAAUGCAUGCAUAUUUAUAACUAUGACGCUUUCGAACGGGAGACACAUAUUGGUUACGCAUACUGAUGAUUCAACACACAUAUAUAGCUAGCUAUCAAGUUUCAUCGGAAUAGAUCAAAUAAUUAAUGGGGGAGGAGGACUUGUCAUUUGUGCUCACCCACGAACGAAGGGGCAGAGCUCGUCAAACGCACGGCGAGGUCGUCGAACACCAAACCUCGCAGCGAUGAAACAACUGCACAUUUAAAACUACACGAUCAACACAAUUAUAUAUGAUGUUUUUCAUAACAAAAUCGAAAAAUAUAUGACCUAACUAAUAAUUCACAAAUAUAUGACCCCGUCGGCCUCUGGAAGGCCAAAGAACACCUUUUCGGGAGGUGUCGGUGGUCGGGGUGUCCUGUCGAUGUCGGGGUGUCGUGUCGGGGUCGGGUGCUGUUUCGGGGUCGGGGGGUCUGGGUGUCGUGUCGAUGUCGGGGUAGUGUCGUGUCGGUGUCGGGGUGUUGUUUCGGGGUCAGGGUGUGGUGUCGGGGUCAGNNNNNNNNNNNNNNNNNNNNNNNNNNNNNNNNNNNNNNNNNNNNNNNNNNNNNNNNNNNNNNNNNNNNNNNNNNNNNNNNNNNNNNNNNNNNNNNNNNNNNNNNNNNNNNNNNNNNNNNNNNNNNNNNNNNNNNNNNNNNNNNNNNNNNNNNNNNNNNNNNNNNNNNNNNNNNNNNNNNNNNNNNNNNNNNNNNNNNNNNNNNNNNNNNNNNNNNNNNNNNNNNNNNNNNNNNNNNNNNNNNNNNNNNNNNNNNNNNNNNNNNNNNNNNNNNNNNNNNNNNNNNNNNNNNNNNNNNNNNNNNNNNNNNNNNNNNNNNNNNNNNNNNNNNNNNNNNNNNNNNNNNNNNNNNNNNNNNNNNNNNNNNNNNNNNNNNNNNNNNNNNNNNNNNNNNNNNNNNNNNNNNNNNNNNNNNNNNNNNNNNNNNNNNNNNNNNNNNNNNNNNNNNNNNNNNNNNNNNNNNNNNNNNNNNNNNNNNNNNNNNNNNNNNNNNNNNNNNNNNNNNNNNNNNNNNNNNNNNNNNNNNNNNNNNNNNNNNNNNNNNNNNNNNNNNNNNNNNNNNNNNNNNNNNNNNNNNNNNNNNNNNNNNNNNNNNNNNNNNNNNNNNNNNNNNNNNNNNNNNNNNNNNNNNNNNNNNNNNNNNNNNNNNNNNNNNNNNNNNNNNNNNNNNNNNNNNNNNNNNNNNNNNNNNNNNNNNNNNNNNNNNNNNNNNNNNNNNNNNNNNNNNNNNNNNNNNNNNNNNNNNNNNNNNNNNNNNNNNNNNNNNNNNNNNNNNNNNNNNNNNNNNNNNNNNNNNNNNNNNNNNNNNNNNNNNNNNNNNNNNNNNNNNNNNNNNNNNNNNNNNNNNNNNNNNNNNNNNNNNNNNNNNNNNNNNNNNNNNNNNNNNNNNNNNNNNNNNNNNNNNNNNNNNNNNNNNNNNNNNNNNNNNNNNNNNNNNNNNNNNNNNNNNNNNNNNNNNNNNNNNNNNNNNNNNNNNNNNNNNNNNNNNNNNNNNNNNNNNNNNNNNNNNNNNNNNNNNNNNNNNNNNNNNNNNNNNNNNNNNNNNNNNNNNNNNNNNNNNNNNNNNNNNNNNNNNNNNNNNNNNNNNNNNNNNNNNNNNNNNNNNNNNNNNNNNNNNNNNNNNNNNNNNNNNNNNNNNNNNNNNNNNNNNNNNNNNNNCUUGCUCUUUGCCGUCCGCUAGCGGACGGCAAAGAGAGGGCCCGUUAGGUUUUUUUUGCAGCUCGUCAGUGGGGCCCCUCCCUCUUUGCCGUCCGCUAGCCGACGGCAAAGAAUCUUUGCCGUCCGCUAGCAGACGGCAAAGAACUGGCUGAUGGCAAACUUGGUCUUUGCCAUCAGCCAGUUCUUUGCCGUCCGCUUUUUGGAAGCUGAUGGCAAAGAGCUUCUUUGCCGUCCGCUAGCGGACGGCAAAGAACUGGCAGAUGGCAAAGUAGCUGAUUCCAGUAGUGAGUUGUUCUUUUUGAUACCGGUGCAUUGCAUUCAUACAUAUCAAGGGGAUUUGUGGAUAAAUAUAAAUUGCCAACCCAAGCACUUAGGUCACCCAUGCUAGUAACCUCACCCGGAGCAGAGUAUACGGCUAGUAAAUGGUGUGAUCGACUACCAUUAAGGAUUGGACACCAUGUAUUUCCCUCGGACCUAAUAGUUUUGAAAUCGCAAGGUUUGGAUGUGAUAUUAGGCAUGGAUUGGUUAUCAAAGUAUGAAGGGAACAUUGAUUGCGCCAGUAAGACAAUUUUGCUUACUACACCAGAAGGGAUAAGGAUCAAGUAUGUAUCACGGCAUGAGCCGAGGAGAGCACACAUAAAUUCCUUAUCAGGAGUUGUGCAGGAGGAAGUACCAGUGGUAAAAGAUUUUUCUGAUGUAUUUCCAGAAGAGUUGCCAGGCAUGCCACCGGAUAGAGAUAUUGAGUUCUUAAUUGAGCUACUGCCAGGCACUGGGCCAAUAUCCAAGAGACCGUAUAGGAUGCCAGCCCAAGAUUUGGAGGAAAUCAAGAAGCAGAUUAAGGAGUUGUUGGACAAAGGUUUCAUUCACCCAAGUUCUUCGCCUUGGGGAUCGCCAGUACUUCUAGUGGAGAAGAAGGAUGGAUCGUUAAGAAUGGUUGUUGAUUAUCGCGGAUUGAAUGAAGUAACAAUCAAGAAUAAGUACCCACUGCCAAUGAUCAAUGAUCUGUUUGAUCGGUUGCAAGGAGCUAAGGUGUUUUCCAAGAUCGAUUUGCGAUCGGAGUACCAUCAGUUAAAGAUUCGGGAGCAAGAUAUACCGAAGACGGCUUUUACCACCAGAUACGGGUUGUAUGAGUAUACCGUUAUGUCAUUUGGUCUGACUAACGCCCCAGCCUAUUUUAUGAACAUGAUGAACAAGGUGUUUAUGGAGUUUUUGGAUAAGUUCGUCGUGGUGUUCAUUGAUGAUAUUUUGGUUUACUCGAAGAAUGAAGAGGAACACAAGGAACACUUGCGAUUAGUACUCAAGAAGCUCAGAGAACAUCAGCUAUAUGCCAAGUUCAGCAAGUGUGAGUUUUGGUUGAAGGAAGUUGGAUUUCUCGGACAUGUUAUAUCCGGAGAAGGUAUCGCAGUAGACCCCACUAAAGUUGUCACUGUGACAAACUGGGAAGCACCAACAACAGUUGGAGAGAUCAGGAGUUUCCUUGGACUCGUAGGAUACUACCGAAGAUUCAUUAAAAAUUUCUCGAAGAUUGCCAAGCCUAUGACAGAGUUGUUGAAGAAGGAUACUAAGUUCAUUUGGACUGAGGAGUGUGAGGCUAGUUUCCAAGAAUUGAAGAAACAUUUGGUUACCUCACCGGUGUUGAUCCUGCCAGAUCAGACUAAGGAUUAUGAAGUGUAUUGCGACGCUUCACGUCGAGGACUUGGAGCAGUGCUUAUGCAGGAAGGAAGAGUUGUUUCGUAUGCUUCACGACAAGUUAAGCCACAUGAGUUGAAUUAUGCUACUCAUGAUUUGGAGUUAGCAGUUGUAGUGCAUGCACUGAAAACGUGGAGACAUUUUCUCAUUGGAAAUCAUUGUGAGGUGUACACAGAUCAUAAGAGUUUGAAAUACAUCUUCACGCAGAAGGAGUUAAAUCUCAGGCAGAGGAGAUGGUUGGAACUUAUUAAGGAUUAUGAUAUGAUAUUGCAUUAUCACCCCGGGAAGACUAACGUUGUAGCCGAUGCGUUGAGUCGCAAGAGCCAUGUCAAUACUCUAAUGACGGGAGAGAUACCCAAGGAGUUAGCCGAGGACCUUCGAGAGCUAUGUUUGGAAAUAGUUCCGAGAGGCUAUGUAGCAGCAAUGGAGAUUCAGUCUACAUUGAUGGAUAAAAUCAGGGAAGCUCAAAAGGCAGAUACAGAAGUUGCCGCUAUUAAGGAACAGAUAAGCAAGGGGAAGGCUAAAGGAUUUCGUGAGGAUGAGUACGAUACCUUAUGAUUUGAGGACCGUGUUUAUGUGCCCAAUGACCCGGAGAUCAGGAAGUUGAUUCUGCAAGAGGCAUACGAUUCACCAUACUCGAUUCACCCCGGAAAUACAAAGAUGUAUUUGGAUUUGAAGGAAACAUUCUGGUGGACUGGAAUGAAGAAGGAUAUUGCAGAGUAUGUAGCAGUUUGUGAUGUAUGUCAGAGGGUGAAGGCAGAACAUCAAAAGCCAGCCGGAUUGUUGCAGCCAUUGCCUAUACCCGAAUGGAAGUGGGACAAACUAGGCAUGGAUUUCAUCACGGGAUUGCCCAGGACUCGUUCAGGCUAUGACUCGAUUUGGGUUGUAGUUGAUCGUUUGACGAAGGUAGCUCAUUUCAUCCCAGUAAAGACUACCUACAGCAGUGCCAAAUUAGCUAAGAUAUACAUGACGAGGAUUGUAUGUUUGCAUGGAGUUCCGAGGAGUAUCGUAUCAGAUAGAGGAACCCAAUUCACCUCGAAGUUCUGGAAGCAGUUGCAUGAAACAUUGGGAACCAGACUGGAGUUUAGCACAGCUUUCCACCCACAGACAGAUGGACAGACCGAGAGAGUCAAUCAGGUUUUGGAAGAUAUGCUUAGAGCUUGUGUUUUGGAUUAUGGAUCAAGUUGGGAUGACAACUUGCCAUACGCGGAGUUUUCUUACAACAACAGUUACCAAUCCAGUUUGAAAAUGGCCCCUUUCGAAGCCUUGUACGGAAGGAGGUGCUUGGACCAGAUUUGAUUAAGGAGUCUGAACAGAAAGUAAAGUUGAUUCGCGACAGGCUCAAGGUAGCUUAGUCAAGGCAGAAGAGCUAUGCAGAUUCGAAACGCAAAGAGACAGAAUAUGCAGUCGGAGACAGAGUUUAUCUUCGAGUAUCUCCACUUCGAGGAGUUAAACGCUUUGGAGUUAAAGGAAAGUUAGCGCCACGUUUUGUGGGGCCAUACAAGGUUUUGGAACGCAUGGGAGAAGUAGCAUACAAGUUGGAAUUACCUGAGGGAUUGUCAGGAGUUCACGAUGUGUUCCAUGUUUCACAGUUGAAGAGGUGCCAUGCGAAGAUGGCUGAUAUGCCAUUGAGAGAUACGGUGCCAUUGGAAACGAUUCAGUUGAAGGAAGAUUUGACUUAUGAAGAGAAACUUGUUAAGAUUUUGGAUUAUGCCAGCAGAGUUACCCGCAGCAAGGUUAUCAGGUUUUGCAAAGUUCAGUGGAGCCACCGCACUGAGGAGGAAGCCACCUGGGAGCGAGAGGAAGAUCUUCUCAAGGACCACCCUCACCUAUUUGCUAACCAACCUGAAUCUCGAGGGCGAGAUUCAUCUUAAGGGGGGUAGGUUUGUAACAUCCCAAAUUUUCAAUUUGGAAUGUUAUACAUAGAUCAUCAUUGCAUAUCAUAUUUUGUUGCAUCUUUGGCUCAAUCCUAGAAAUCCUAUGCAACUCAAGGACCCACGGAGAGAGUUGGGGAUUUCGUUAUUUUCUUAUUUGAGUUUUUCUCAAGUUUUGAAAAUAGGAUCAAUGAUUUUAUUUACUUUAUCUUCAAUUAUUUCUACUACCAAAAUUCAGAGAGGGAACAAAAGGACUUUCCCAAAAUAAAGAAAUAAUGAAGAUUUAAUAAAAAAAUCAAAUAAGAUUUAUUUUGGAGUUUUUCACCUUUUAUUUGAAUUUAGGAAAAAUGCGCGUUUUUCAAAAUUGCAUUUAGGCCUCAAAUAAAUGUUCAUCUUGUCCGGCUUGAUUUUAGAAGCCCGGGAAAAUUUAUUUCGGAAUUUUUGGAGUCCGUUUAGUAUUUCUUUUUAUUUUUCUUCUGCGUGGAAUUAUUUUUUUUUUUAAAACGCAACCGACCUACGGGCCAUGCCCGAGCGGGACUCCGCCCGGGGGCGCCUUUAAAUAGCNNNNNNNNNNNNNNNNNNNNNNNNNNNNNNNNNNNNNNNNNNNNNNNNNNNNNNNNNNNNNNNNNNNNNNNNNNNNNNNNNNNNNNNNNNNNNNNNNNNNNNNNNNNNNNNNNNNNNNNNNNNNNNNNNNNNNNNNNNNNNNNNNNNNNNNNNNNNNNNNNNNNNNNNNNNNNNNNNNNNNNNNNNNNNNNNNNNNNNNNNNNNNNNNNNNNNNNNNNNNNNNNNNNNNNNNNNNNNNNNNNNNNNNNNNNNNNNNNNNNNNNNNNNNNNNNNNNNNNNNNNNNNNNNNNNNNNNNNNNNNNNNNNNNNNNNNNNNNNNNNNNNNNNNNNNNNNNNNNNNNNNNNNNNNNNNNNCGCCGUCUCGAACCGCUUGCCGCCGGUUUUCUUAAAAAUAACCGGACGGUUUUAUUUCGGUUUUGUUCGGGGUUUUUUUAGAUUCGUUUUUUUUUAUUUUAGUUUUUGGUUUUUUUUCAGUUAGGUUAAUUAGCGGACGUUCGUCCGUUAGUUCGUUUUAACGAACGCUUUUCGUCAGAUUCGUUUAGUUAACGAACGUUCGUUCGUUAACCCGUUCGUCGUUUUUUCUUUUUCUCGGAUUUAAUCCGCGAUUUUUCUGAUCGCGAUUCCUGAUCCGAUUUUCGUUUUAGCUUAACUUUUCGCUCGUUUAUCGGAAUCAGGCGAUUCAAGCGCUUGCAGUUUCGUCUCGAAACCCUCUUUCCGAAUAAUCUACUUAAUCAAGUUUUUGCUUCUAUAAAAUUUGACUUAGAUCCAGAUUAGUAAAACGAAGAUGUUUUCUUUCGCCGUUUGACUUUCGUUGCUUUAUUUGAUUUGAUUCUUUUUGCAAACCGGAGUUCUUAAGUUGAACAUCCUGGUUAGAUCUUUUACUCGAGUUUUACCUGUGCAUUAGAUGAGUACUUAUUGUAUGCUUGUUUGUUUGUCUGCGAUAGAAUACCCGGAGUGCGCCGCCUGUUACUUCGAGUCUCUAGGUUUCACGGAUCAUCAGCAAGGCAAGUAACACUUGAUCAUACCUUUUCUCAUACCCAGUUUUUAUGCAUUAGAUCUAUCCUCAAACAUUGCAUUGACUAGGAUCUAAUUAAAUUGUGGGAUGGGAAGUAGAUUGAGGUAGUACCUAUUACCUGUUUUAUUUUCAAACCUUUGGGAGUUACUUCUACGUUUGCUUAUUAUGCCAUGCUAUGCUAGUAGACGUGGAUUGGGUGAGUGAAUAUCCAUGACAGAUGUGAGAUUGUUAAUUAAUGGUUUAUUUAAGGUGGCAACCUAAACACACAUCUGGGUGGAUUGAGGCACCUGUUUUCUAGCAGGACUUGCCUGUAUUUCUUCGGACCGCCGCCCAGGCUCAAAGGGAUCAUGAGAUUAUUCAAACUAGAAACUUCCGUGUGCAGCCACAUGCUAUUAUGGGCUCUAGCAUAGUUGACUAAGUUGUGCGAACUCUUACGGGGUGGACUAGCAGAUGUAGGGGAUGUAGGUUGGUACGGUCUACCCCUCAUGUAAGGUGCUAGUGCUUCUGAAAGACUAUGUCUCGGUCAUCCGUUUCUCAAACAUCAUGUAGUGCGAGAAUCCAAGCGGAGGCGAUCGAGUCAUGUGGGGAAAAGUGCGCAAACCUCUGCAGAGUGUAUAAACUAAUCAUGGUUAGCCGUGUCCCCAGUUAUGGACAUCUUGAGUAUCUAGUACCUGGAUAUCAUGUGAAUUUCAUCAUGUUACUCUAAUUAAUAUUGUUGGGUUUAAUGAGUACUUUUUAAUUGGGAUUGAGAAUGCUGUCAACCAUUCUCAAUGUUUAACAACCACCAUGAUAGUUAAAUGAAUUUAUUCCUUUGAAGUAGGGAAAAAUUGGCUUUAUGCAAAAAACUGUAACCAUAGAGCUUUACCACCAGCCAAAUAUGCAUGUAGUAUAGCCUACCUCCAUUGUUAUUCUCUAUGUGUUACAUUGCCAGCAUAUUCCAUGUGCUGACCCGUUUUCGGGCUGCAAUGUUUCAUGUUGCAGACUUUUCAGACGACGAGUAAGGUGCUUUUAGGUCGUGGUUCUAUACUCAGUGAUGCCGUUCGAGUUGAUGGACUCGCUUAUCUUCCAAGUCUUCCGCUGUUAUCGUUUUUAGAUGGCCUUAAGCCAUAUACAUUUUAAUAAGUUCUCUUUUGAGACAUUCGAUGUAAUAAGUGUGUGAUUGUUACUCUGUUAUAAAUCAUCCAAGUAUUGUGUGGUGUCAGCAUUACUGAUCCAGGGAUGACACUGAGCACAGAGAUCAGACUGUUUGAGGUCUGGUCGCUACAAUGUGGUAUCAGAGCACAUGCUGACUGUAGGACACGGCCUCUAAGCUUAAGCCCUAGAUCACUACUCUUUCUUCUCAUUUCUGACUCCUCAUCUUUUCUAUUCUUUAGGAUGGCGGAUGCAAGGAUCAAGUUCGCGCAACCAGAUGAGAAUUCACCUUUUGGAUGUCACUUGAAGGAAGCCACUAGAUACCUGAACAUAGGAGUACCAAGCUUCAUCGGGACCUUCAACGCCACUUUACCCGAAGAGGAGCGCUGGAGGAUUCAAGUCUACAUUCUAGGAAGGACGUUUGCACCAGUCAUAGAGCCAAUAGAAUUUACCUUUGAUGUGCCAACAUGGAGCCUAGGAAAGAGCAUGGCAGCUCACAUCGCCAUGGGACGAAUUGGAGAAGUUUACCACAACGACCUCAAGAAUACUAUCUACCAGAUUUGUGGGCGCCGAGAUGAGCAUUGGGAGAUGAUCACCACCAGGAAGGACAGAUCAAUCACAGCUUAUAUUCAGGAGUUAAACCAACACAUCCGACGCCAGGAGAAUCAGAUGUGCGCAGAUAUGGAGGAGCUACAGAAGGCUAUGACCAGGAUCAAGGAGCUAGAAGCAGAACUCAAGGCUACACGUAAAGACUAUAUGGAAGAAAUCGUCGCUCUAGUAAGACAGAACGGAGACCUUAAGGAGAAGAUUGGAGUAUUCAUGGGAGGAUCAGCACCCAGAGAGGAAGAGGAUGAACCUACUUGCCCAGAUAAUUAUAUCAUCAUCGACGACACCGACUCGGAUCCCGACGACAGCGAUGAUGACUAUGUUGAUGAAGCCGGAGCAGAUAUCAUGGAGUCUUCAUCGGAGCAGUUUUUCUAGUUGACCACCAUAACAGUAGUAGAAUUUUCCACCAUUUAAUUAGUUCUAGUCCAAGCACUUUUGUAACGAUAGUUAGACCGUUGUAUGCCCUUGUUUGAAUUGAUUGGAAUGAUAUUGAGUGUUUUUGUCUCAUGUGCAUAUGGGUAGUGUUAUCUCACUAGACCUCAUUCUAUUCUUAACUCUUCCCUUUAAACCCUCAGAUGCCUCCGAGACGCGACCCCGAGUUUGUUUUUCCGCCAGAGAUCACUCAGUUGAUUCAGCAGUAGAAUACCUUGAUUCAAACAUUGGUACAGAACCAAGGCAACAACAACCCACCACCACCACCACCUGUUGACCAUCUGGCACGUUUCUUAAGGUUGAAUCCGCCGGUGUUUUCCAGUAGCACCGAGCCGAUAGUAGCAGAUGAUUGGCUCCAUAAGAUAGGAAGGGAGUUGACUACUGCAGGAUGCACAGAUGGAGAAAAGGUGAAGUUUGCCGCACAUCAGCUUGACGGACCCGCAGCAGCAUGGUGGGAGAAUUUUACAGCCACUUACCCUGUAGACACUGUCACAUGGAAUCAGUUUCAGCAAGCUUUUCGUACUGCCCAUGUUUCAGCAGGAGCUAUGGCCAUGAAGAAGCAUGAGUUUUGCAACUUACGCCAAGGAGGACGGACAGUUGGCCAGUACAUGGAUGAUUUUAGUAAGCUAGCACGUUAUGCCCCAGAUGACGUUGCUACGGAUGCAGCUAAGCAGGAGAAGUUUCUAGAAGGAUUGAAUGAUGAGCUGAGCAUGCAGUUGAUGGUAGCCACUUUCAAUAACUACCAGGAGUUAGUAGAUCGUGCUCUUAUGAUUGAAGGGAAGCAGCAGCAGAUUGACAAUCGUAAGAGGAAGUAUGGACAGGGGAAGUACAAUUCUGGAGCUCAGCAGAAGCCAUGCUUUACCCCAAAGUCAGGAGGGCAUUUUCAGCAUACUCAUGGAGGAGGCAGCUCGCACAAUCACAAUGGCACAAGGAAUGGGAACGGGAAUGGAGGAAGCAAUGGACAAAGCCGCACCAACCCGUCAACACCAUCCAAGGCAGACCUGAGCCAUAUCACCUGUUACAAGUGCCGCAAGACGGGGCAUUAUGCAAAUGACUGCCCAGAAGCCCAAAAUGGAAAUGGCAAUGGAAGCUCAGGAAAGAAGCCGAACCCUUUCAACAGGGGGCCAGUAAACCACGUUACCGUGGAGGAGGUUGAAGCUCAGCCAGAUAAAGUAAUAGGUAAGUUUUUGGUUAAGACAUUUACUGCAGUUGUUCUUUUUGAUACCGGUGCAUCGCAUUCAUACAUAUCAAGGGGAUUUGUGGAUAAAUAUAAAUUGCCAACCCAAGCACUUAGGUCACCCAUGCUAGUAACCUCACCCGGAGCAGAGUAUACGGCUAGUAAAUGGUGUGAUCGACUGCCAUUAAGGAUUGGACACCAUGUAUUUCCCUCGGACCUAAUAGUUUUGAAAUCGCAAGGUUUGGAUGUGAUAUUAGGCAUGGAUUGGUUAUCAAAGUAUGAAGGGAACAUUGAUUGCGCCAGUAAGACAAUUUUUCUUACUACACCAGAAGGGAUAAGGAUCAAGUAUGUAUCACGGCAUGAGCCGAGGAGAGCACACAUAAAUUCCUUAUCAAGAGUUGUGCAGGAGGAAGUACCAGUGGUAAAAGAUUUUUCUGAUGUAUUUCCAGAAGAGUUGCCAGGCAUGCCACCGGAUAGAGACAUUGAGUUCUUAAUUGAGCUACUGCCAGGCACCGGGCCAAUAUCCAAGAGAUCGUACAGGAUGCCAGCCCAAGAUUUGGAGGAAAUCAAGAAGCAGAUUAAGGAGUUGUUGGACAAAGGUUUCAUUCGCCCAAGUUCUUCGCCUUGGGGAUCGCCAGUACUUCUAGUGGAGAAGAAGGAUGGAUCGUUAAGAAUGGUUGUUGAUUAUCGCGGAUUGAAUGAAGUAACAAUCAAGAAUAAGUACCCACUGCCAAUGAUCAAUGAUCUGUUUGAUCGGUUGCAAGGAGCUAAGGUGUUUUCCAAGAUCGAUUUGCGAUCGGGGUACCAUCAGUUAAAGAUUCGGGAGCAAGAUAUACCGAAGACGGCUUUUACCACCAGAUACGGGUUGUAUGAGUAUACCGUUAUGUCAUUUGGUCUGACUAAUGCCCCAGCCUAUUUUAUGAACAUGAUGAACAAGGUUAGACCGUUUAAUUAGUUCUAGUCCAAGCACUUUUGUAACGAUAGUUAGACCGUUGUAUGCCCUUGUUUGAAUUGAUUGGAAUGAUAUUGAGUGUUUUUGUCUCAUGUGCAUAUGGGUAGUGUUAUCUCACUAGACCUCAUUCUAUUCUUAACUCUUCCCUCUAAACCCUCAGAUGCCUCCGAGACGCGACCCCGAGUUUGUUUUUCCGCUAGAGAUCACUCAGUUGAUUCAGCAGCAGAAUACCUUGAUUCAAACAUUGGUACAGAACCAAGGCAACAACAACCCACCACCACCACCACCUGUUGACCAUCUGGCACGUUUCUUAAGGUUGAAUCCGCCGGUGUUUUCCAGUAUCACCGAGCCGAUAGUAGCAGAUGAUUGGCUCCGUAAGAUAGGAAGGGAGUUGACUACUGCAGGAUGCACAGAUGGAGAAAAGGUGAAGUUUGCCGCACAUCAGCCAAAUAGUUAAAUGAAUUUAUUCCUUUGAAGUAGGGAAAAAAUGGCUUUAUGCAAAAAACUGUAACCAUAGAGCUUUACCACCAGCCAGAUAUGCAUGUAGUAUAGCCUAUCUCCAUUGUUAUUCUCUAUGUGUUACAUUGCCAGCAUAUUCCAUGUGCUGACCCGUUUUCGGGCUGCAACGUUUCAUGUUGCAGACUUUUCAGACGAUGAGUAAGGUGCUUUUAGGUCGUGGUUCUAUACUCAGUGAUGCCGUUGGAGUUGAUGGACUCGCUUAUCUUUCAAGUCUUCCGUUGUUAUCGUUUUUAGAUGGCCUUAAGCCAUAUACAUUUUAAUAAGUUCUCUUUUGAGACAUUCGAUGUAAUAAGUGUGUGAUUGCUACUCUGUUAUAAAUCCUCCAAGUACUGUGUGGUGUCAGCAUUACUGAUCCAGGGAUGACACUGAGCACAGAGAUCAGACUGUUUGAGGUCUGGUCGCUACACUAAUGUUAACUAGGAGGGUGGUGGUGGCGAGAGCAUCGGGCCAAAACUGAGGGGGGCCAUUGGAGUUAAACAAAAACAUGCGGACGCAGUCGUUAAGAGUGCGGAGAAUGUGCUCAGCACGGCCAUUCUGAUGGGAGGUGUAGGGACACGUGAGACGAAAGGUGGUGCCGUAGGAGGCGAGAAGCUGGCGAGUGGCAACGCUGUCAAACUCGUUUCCGUUAUCAGUUUGUAAGGCGAUAAUAGGGCGCCCGAACUGGGUGGUGAUGUAGGAGUAAAAGGCUGUGAGGGUGGCGAGUACAUCGGACUUGCGACGGAGCGGAAACGUCCACGCAAAGUGAGAGAAAUCAUCAAGUAAAACUAGAUAAUAUAGAAAACCCGUGUUAAUCGCCAUGGGAGAUGUCCAUACAUCACUAUGAAGUAACUGAAACGAAAAGGUAGAAAUAGUGUUUGACGCGCUAAACAGAACAUGUUUGCCGAGACGGCAAGCAUGACAAGUGUGCUCGUUGAAUUUAUUACAUGAAAAGGAAAAACUCUUGAGAAUCUGACGAAGGACGAUGGAGUUGGGAUGGCCCAACCGUGCAUGCCAAAGAUCUACGCCGGCAGAGAGGGCGACCGGAGAGGCGGUGGUAGUGGUGGCAGUGGAGGCGGAGUGCACCGGAUAGAGAUCAUCAGGGUUGUCACAUCGGUGCAGAACCAUCUGUGUACGGGAGUCCUUCACAGAGAAACCAAGACCAUCAAAUUCAACAGUGAGAGGAUUAUCACGAGCAAGACAAUGAACGGAGACAAGAUUUUUAAUUAGGUCAGGUGAAACAAGAACAUUAGUCAUAUUAAUCAGUGUGGAGUUAGAAGGAAAGAAACCGUGACCGACAUGAGUAAUGGGCAAAGAAGAACCGUCACCGAGGGUGAUACGGUUCGAGGUGGUGACUGAAAAGGAGGAAGCAUGGUUACCGGGGUGCGAUGUCAUGUGGGCGGUAGCCCCCGUGUCCAUGUACCAAUCGCUGCCACCUCCGUAGUUGGAGGGAGACGGCACCGAGUGCAGCGCGGCGAGCAGUGCGGGAUCCCAUGGGGCCGGAGGGAGGGGGUAGCCUCCGGGCUGAACUGGCGCGGGAGGCGGCGCGAAGCCGCCGAGUAGCGUUUAGCCGCUGGACUGCUGGAAAGCAUCAGCCGAAGGAGGCGCCGGCAGGGGCACGUAGCUGCCCCCACCCGCCUGGUAGGGUGCAGCGGCGUAGUGCGCCUGAGGCCCGGUCGGGUGUGGCCCGAGGAUGCCCGGAGCCCGUGGGACCGGCAUAUGGUAAGCGUUGACCACGUCGGUCCAUAGAUUGGCGCAGACAGUCCAGGGCGGGUGGGCUGAUGUUGGCAUGGAGCCUCCCCCCCGCCGCCAUACCCCGGCUGUUGCUGCUGCUGUUGUGGCCCGGGGCGACCGCCGCCACCGCCCUGCUGCUGUUGCUGAGGGGCAGGUGGUGCGGGCGAAGCCGAUGGUAGGGGGAAGUACCCUGGUGGCGCGGGCGAACGCGGAUGAGGCGCGCGAGCAGAGGUGCCCCGCGAGACGUCUCGGCGGCGAGGGAGGUGUGGUGGACACGAGCUUUGACCUUUUUCAUCAGGCGUUCCUCCAAGCGUAAAUACGCGGCGACGGACUGGAAGGUCGGGUUCGACAGAGGAGAGGUUCGAGGCCGCGUUACCGAAGUCCUCAUUGAGGCAGGCGGUGAGAGUGCUAAGCAUGAGCUCGUCAGACACCUUAGCGCCUAUGUCGCGGAGCUCGUUGGCAAGCCGCUUGAGGCGCAUGGAGUAGUCAUUGAUGGAGGAGUCAUCUUGGUGGCACCCAAAAAAUUCCUGGUGCAAAAACACAAGACAUUGAAGCUGAUUAUCGGUGAAGAGGUUGUUGAUCUUGGUCCACACGACACAUGCGUCGUCAUCCUCCGAGACGACCGUGUGGAAGAUGUCUGGCGAGACGGUGAGGUAGAACCACCGUAUGAGGGAGGCCUCAAUGGCCGCGCAGUCCGGAUCACCCGCCAUGAGAUCGCCAUCAACGGACUCGUCGACGUGCUCGAGGAGGUGGUACUCGCGGAAGACGAGGUUGAAGUAGGUCUUCCAGGCGUAGUAUGAGGAGUUGGACUGGGAGAGGUUGAUGGGGACGCGGAUGUGGAUGUCAAGAUCGUGAAUGGGGGUGGCGUCGGGCUCGGGACCGGUGAAUGGAUUGGAGUUGCUGGAGUGGGGGACGCCAUGGAGUUGCGUCGACGCGGGGAAGAGGUCGGCGACUCGGGGGCUAGCAGCGGCGGCGCGUGUUAGGGUUUGGGAGAGGAGGCGCGCGCGGCUAGGGUUGAUGGGGAGGGUGCAGCGACGGCAGGAGAGGGGUGCGGCGGCUGCGGGUUGUUGCGGCGGCGGCGUACAGCGGCGGCGGCGGCUACGCUGGAAGGAGCGGCGGCGGCGGCGGCUGUAGAUCGGUGACUAUCUGAUACCCUGUUAGUUGGAAAGAGGAGAUUGCAUGCAUCGAUAAUUCAUUGAUCGUGUGCAUGAUGCACAUAUAUAGGUACAGUGUGGACCGGCCUCUACUUGUCUCCAAAGAUGUACAAAUAUACGAGGGAGAGAGAGAGAGAUACAACGGUAUAAAUACAGACCCUAGUCCUAUACACAUGCAGUGGACAACGUACGCUCGGUACUGAUUAUCGGUUUUUAUGUCCAUUUCAAUCUUAUAGGAUUAGCAUAGAAUGUUUGAUGUCAUUAGAGAACAAAUGAAUGGUAAAAUAAAAUAAAAUAAUUGAAGUGGAUGCUCCUAUGGAGUGAAGUGCCCAUGAUUCCUUAGGAAUUUUUUUAUAUAAGAUUCAAUCAUAUCUUUACCUAAUAAUAAAGCAAAUUGGAUUUCCUUCGUCCGUCAUGCCAUUUUUUCAGAAAAGUCCCUCUAUUUCAGAGAAUUCAACCUGCAGUUCUGUUUUAAGGUAAAACGAAGCGUUAUUUUCGUAUUUUACACAAAAGUCCCUGUCUUUUCUUUAAAUCAACCCGCCAUCCGGAUUUAAGUCACACCCGAACCGUUAUUUUACAUUUUCCGAAACCCUCCUGAUGUUUUAGGUAAUUCAUCCGCGGAUCAUAUUUAAGUCAAACAAAUAUUUUUUUAAAUCAUCCAUAUCUUUUAAACCGUAACUCCGAUUUUAACAUGUUAUACAUGAAAUUUGAUUAGAAAAAUAUGUAGAAUAUGAAUAUGAGAUUAUUUUUACCUGUUAAGUAUUUUUAAAUAUUAUUUUGGAAUACAUUUGAGUCAAACCAAAUGAUUUUCUAAUUAUCUGUAUCUUUUGAACCGUAACUUCGAUUUUAACAUAUUAUAUAUGAAAUUUUAUUAGAAAAAUGUGUGGAAUCUAAAUAUGAUGUUAAUUUUACCUGUUAAAUAUUUUAAAAAUAUUGUUAUAGAAGCAAACGUAUAAUUUAUAGCGCAAGAUCCUUUUUUCAUACCGGCGGCAAUCCAAAUUGCAAAUAAAUACCCCAUUAUAACCAUAUACAAAAAAGAAAACAUCGAUAACUACACGUGCAUACCUCCGAAAAAUGUCGCAAGGGAAAACAACAGAUUUCUCAUCUCGAGAGUGAGAGAAAGCGAGCGAGAGAGGGGGGGAGGGAGAGGGAGGAGAGAGGGAGAGAGAGACGCCUUAGGAUUAACCAUAUUCAAUACACAUUUUUUGUUAUUUUGUGUGAACACCAAGGCUAUCGCCGGCGAGGGUGAGAAGGAGGAUAAGCGGCAACACAAAUAUGAUGCCUCGCAAAAAUAAAGGAGAUCGACCUAUUAUGGUCUUGAGUGAUGGUUGUUGAGUUAAGAGUGUGUGUUAUGUUUUCUCUCCCGUUGCAACGCACGGGCUCUUUUGCUAGUGAAUCAAAAGAUUUUAAAGGCAUCUUCAAUGCCGACUCUCAGAGCGGACACAGUAUUUGUCUGUACACCUAAUAUGAGAGCCGGCCAUCCAACAUUAUACGUCAAAUGUUCGUUAAGUCUCUAUUAACUUUAAAAAAUAGGCUUCCACCAAACUUGCAGCAAACCCAUGAAAGCCUAUCUAGGACAUGGCUAAUGAUACUACUAGCCGGACUAGUACUGCUAACGAGGAUUUUUAGCACUAACACACGUCAUGCAAGCAAACUCUAAUGUGCACUACUACACCACGUAGAGCUAGCAUCCGCCAAUUUAACACUAGCAUGUUUAGUAGCUUCCGUCAAAUGCUAGCAUGUUUUAACUAGUGUUUCACUCGUUGCUAGCACAUGAAGUAAAUUGCUUCCGCCAAAGAUGAAUCUCGCUGAUUAAUGGUAGUGGCUUCUGCCAACAUGAAGCAUGUGAUUAGUGGUUUUCGCCAAACAUGGUAGCAGCCUCAAAUCCUUGCAUGCUAAUCACCUUCCUUCCGUCACCAGCGGUCUUUCACCAUCGAGAUAGAGAGGAGAGGAGGGUAUGUGGUGGCUUUUGGUCAUCAUGUGGAUGCCCGGACUACUCCCUCAAAACUCCGGCGGGUUUACUUUCAGCUUGGGGGAAAACGGACAAGCGGACGCGUCCACGGACAAAUGUGGAUAUGUUGGAGGGCAGAGUGCACCCGAACAGCUCGGUUCAAAUAUUUGCGGGCUUUUUGAGGAAUCCGGUGCCCUAAACCUUCAAAAAUCCUAGAAAAUACCUUUGAAUCAAAGGAGCCCCAAAGUUAUUGUGGGAAGGGUGUAGCUAGGUCUCAGUCGACUUAAAUUUAACCAAGUCUCAGUCAGGUGAUAUAACAUUAUAGAGAGAAAAAGAAAAACUAAAAACUAAACUUUGAACAUGUCACAAUGUAAGAUUUCAUGGAUAUAGCAUCGACAGAAACUAAACAAGGCCUCAGUCGACCGAGACUUAUCAAGACUGUUAUGGAAAUCCUUUGAAUCAAGAUGCUCUAGAGUUUGCGCCCCUACAUGUUCGAGCAGCCUAUUAAUGCCGCCUGUGUACUGUACGUGCGUGGCAUAUUUACGUUUUGCCGGAGCUCCGGCACUGAAGACCAGCCAGCCGGGGCGACGGAGCACGCGCGCCUCCCUAGGCCGGUCCCGCAGUGAGGGUGACGGUGUGACUAUUCCGUAUAACUGGUGUUACACCGAAGCAGGCAAUGAGUACAACCCGCACAAGAUGACGAAAACGGAGUCCCGCAGCAUGCAUGCACGCGCAGACGGAGUUAAAUGCGGAGAGAGGGGCCGCUCCCGGCCGGGAGAGGCCGGUACGUGGAGCUCAUCUACGCCCAUUCCUCCGGCUUAACGCCGGGCAUUCAUGGAGCCCCCACCCCACCGCUUCCUUCCUCGCUGGAUUUAAAGUUGCCAUCGCCGAGUUGGUGCAAUACGUCCGGCGUCCGCGUGCGUCGGCGCCCCGCCCCGCCCGACGUGUGCAAAGCCCAGGACGGCGAUGAGUCCAGGCCAGAGAACGCUUCCCCGAUCUCGCUCGCCUCGCCAUCAUCGCCGUGACCCCAUCCCGUCACAUGCACCACAGCGACCGGUCGCUAGCCUAGCCGCGCGCGUGUGUGCAUCAGUACAUGUACCUCUAUCUCUCUGCGUGUGUGCCAGUGAGUAUGCAUGUCUAGUGCGCGCCAUGAGCAGGCAUCGUAUGAAGAGAUCCUGUGCCGGUGGUGGCGCAUCGCAUUCGCGUGCCGUGGUGAUGCACGGUGAUGAGCUGCGCCAUGCAUGGUCUCUGAUCAAGCUCUGUGCCCUCUGAUGCAUGGCCGGUGCACGUAUUGAUUGAUUGACGUGCGAGCAAACAUACAUGCGCAGGCAGGCAGGCGAAGCAAUGGAGAUGUGCAUGGACGACCGGCCGGCCGGCACAUGCAGCGCAGCAAAUUAACCUCUCGGCUGCAGCGUCCAUAAAGCCAUGUUUCAUCGUUUCGGGGAUCGGCUCGGACCACACGGCCGCGCCGUGCUCUACCACCCUUUUGCACCCCCGCAGGUCAUUUAUGUCCACCGUACCACCUCUCCGGCCCUCUCCACUCUCCACGCCACGGUCCUCCGGUCCUCCUCUCUACUCUACCUAUGCUUCCUUCCGAUACAUAAAGCCCGGGCAGCUAAGCUAGCAGCCUCCUCCUCCUUCCCAGCAACGCACAAGCAACGCACCACUCUCAGCAGUAGUCGCCAAGCAAACCGCAGCAGCUCCUCCCUUUGGGCGCCUCGCCACGGUGCCCAACCCCAUGGCAGCACAGAGCCCUCGCCAUGCCAGCACAGGCUUCGUCCUGGUGCGCUCCUCCGUGACCAGGCUCAAGCUUCCAGGGUCCAAGGAGGGGCCAUCGGGGAGCUGGGCACGCCGCGCGCCCCGCGCCCCGCUGAUCGACCACCGGCUCUAUCCUCCCUGAGCUCUUCUGCGCCCCACCUCUUCGCCUUCCCUCUCUUCCGCGUCACCGUUCCUUGGUGUGGUCUUCAGGCAUUCAAAGGAGUUCUUGCUGUUGUUGCACUAACCGCUGUUCUUGACCUUGCAAGACUUUGCCCUGCCAAACACCCUUCUACCAGUAUUCAAUCCCAUACUCAUCCAUACCAACCCUCUCAUCUCCCGCCAUCCCGUCUAUCCCUCUUGAGCUUUUGUGACUGGAACAUCUAGCAGUAGAUCGAGUUUGCGUGUGAUGCUACUAUAUAUCUUUGCCCAAUAAGAUCGUAUGUGUAAGUUUCUGUGGCAUCUUGUGUCACCGCUUCAGCCAUCUUGGCUAGACCGUAUUGUAUUGCUCUUUCUUCUUUCCGGUGAGUUGAUGUUUAGUUAGGUUUUUGUCUUGCUCGGGUUGUUGUUUGUUGUGUCGGCGAGAUAAAGCUAGCCAAGAUUUUACUUGUAAGCCUAAUGUUGUAAUGCGUGUCCAGUUUCUGUCCCAUCUUAUGUCACCACUUCAGUCAUCUUGCCAAGUAUAUUGUACUGUAUAUUGUUCUUCAGUUCUUGUUUCCGAUCAGAUGAGUUGCUGUUUAGUUAGUUAUUGUCCUCCUCCAUUGCUGUUUGUUGUCUCGGCAAGAUAAGCUAGCUCAGAUUCUACCUGUAGCCAAGCUUAAUGUUGUAAUGCAUGUGGAACUGGAAUGAACUAGUACUAAGAUAUAUUGUCCAGUUGCAGCUUGAAACGUGCAGGUUAAUUAUCACAAGUUAAGUGCAACAUAACAUGUGCGUCCAGCGUCCACGUGAAAGUCAGAGCAGUCUUAAUUUGCCGGGCAUAUUCGCACGCUUGUACGUGCAGUAGAUAGCGCCAUUUAUUAUGUAUGAUCUGCACCGUAUGACUGGGCCCUGUAACGUACUCCCUCCGUUCGAAAUUACUUGUCUCGGAAAUAAAUGUAUCUAGAUGUAUUUUUUUAGAUACAUUCAUUUCCGGGACAAGUAAUUCCGAACGGAGGGAGUAGUAAUGAAGAGCAUGCGCAGCAGCGUUGUUGAUAUGUUGUGCACCAGCUGACCGGCUCUUGAUAGCACGGCCACAACCAUGCAUACAGAACGAACGCUAGCAUGCCCCGGGCCAUUCAGACAUCAGAACUCACAUUAACUAGCAAACGUUUACUGAACCCUGGGAGGAAGAUAGUACUCCCUCUGUGAACUUUAGUGCCGUAAAACGUCUUAUAAAGGAGUGGUAUCUAGCUAUGAUUGAUCGUACCAGUAUGCUUUAUAAGAGCAUCUUUAAUAGAAGGUCAUAUGUAAAAAUAUCUACUUUUGGAUCUUCGAGAGCAGAAAACACUGCUCCAACAGACGAUCCAUAUAUAAAAAAAUUAGACUAUCGCCUCCCGGAGAUGUAAAAUUGAAAACUUUGUGAUGCAAAUUUACAUCACGAGAUACAAGUGAUGUAAAACCGCGGCCGCUGCCAAACGACCAAGCGCCACUUCAUUCCCCUUCCGCCUCGCGACCGCCCGCCCACGACCGAGCACCAGUCGCCGAAAGUCGCCGCCGCCACCGCCCCAAAUCGCCGCCGCCGCCGCCCUAGCUCGCGUCGCCUCCCCCGCCGGAGGGCGUCUCGCAGCCGCCCCGGCGCCACCGUUUCAGGAAGAAGCCGCAGCUGGAUUCGCCGACUCCGGCGGUCCGACAGCCCAUAUAGCUCCGCUCCGCCGGCCGCCGUGCUCCCUUCUCCUUUGCGCCGCCGUCCGCAGCAGCGACCAAUCCAACUGUUGGGCAUCUUCUUCCACCCCGCGCACAAGGUGUUCGAUGGACAUGUAUAAUUUUUUUAUGUUGUUUUUAGAUGUUUUUUGCAAUAUGUGCGGCUGCACAGUGGUUGAACAACAGUUGCGCGGCCGCCGGCCGGUUUUGCAUCUUUGUUUUGGACCAUCUGUUGGAGUUGCUCUUUUUUUUACAUCUCCGUUUUGGACCAUCUAUUGGAGUUGAGCCUUUUUUGAAGAUGUAAAAAGCAUUUUUUUUGUGCUUCAAAUUUGGAUCAUCACUGGUUUCGACCACCAAAAUAUGCAUCAUCUAUUAGAGAUGCUCUAAACAGAGAACCAAGUCUUGCCUUAAAUCACAAGCAUGUUCACUGUGUAUUGAUACGACUUGACAAUCCAUUCGUCGAGCACAAGUACUCCCUCCAUGUCAUAAUAUAAGUGUUUUUUAUACUAGUAUAGUGUCAAAAACGCUCUUAUAUUAUGAUACGGAGGGAGUAGUUUUCUUACAUGCUUUAUAAGGAUUAUUUUUUUUGGUUUCCUUAUGCUUUUUACUCUUGCAGCACAUGUCGCCGUUUACGUAUGUUGUGCACCGUAUGACUGGGCCUGCAAUGAUGGGCAUGUGCAGUAGCGCUCUUAAUAUGUUGUGCACCAUCUCACUGGGUCUUCGUACGGGCACAACAAUGCACACAGAACGAACGCUACUCCAGCCAUUCAGAGGUCAGAACUCACAUUAACUAGCAAACAGGUCUGCUUCUCAGGCUCGCAUCAACCACUGUUUGCUCAACUCUGGGAGGAAAAAUAGCAUGAUCGAUCACACGACACAGACUAGCCUGUCCAAUAUGAGCAGUUUAUUCUCUGUAAACAGAAAACCAAGUCCUUUUAACAACAGGUCAAAUGCAAAUGCAAUGCAAGGCAUCUUUUCCGGAUAUUGACAUAGCCCCCAUUCGGUUCCCCAUAUAGCUAGCCAUUCUAAAUCCCAGGACAGGCAUGCUUAGGUUAAACAACGGGCAAUGAAACCUCAUUUCAGAAUGUAAUUCAUUUAAUAAAUGUGAAAAGGCAUGUCCUCAAUGACAGAAUACAUAAGCAUGCUGAAUUAUUUGUGCAACAUAGAGAAAAGCAUCACUUGCUGUUCUGCAGCGAUUGCUGGAAGAGAGUACAUGACAGGAGCAUAAAUUCCAACCACAAGACAGCAGUAGCGCUGACACGAAAGCAAUUGAGGAGACUCAAACAGAUGAUUUAGAGGGGCCCUGCAAAUGUCCCGUUCUCCCUCUGCUCGUUCCACUUCUCAAC
rnacentral:lncRNA from 1 species